AUUCUUCGAUUGAUUGCAGGAACAAAGACCUUCGUGGUCAGGUUGAUCGUGCCGCCGCGGGAUCAAUAACCUUCUGGAGUUGGUGUAUCGAUCGCUAAGGCGCUGCCUCCUAAGUUGUAGUCGGAUCGUCAAUGUCACCUCCUACCAAAUCGAUAAUUAGGUAUCUCAUCGAAAGAUCAGGACACCCUCGAGGCUAUCACGUGGUAUUAGAGCUUAAGGUUGCUCGGUGAGAUUUUUCCAGUUUAUCUGUAGUUUAGAUCUGUUUUUACCUAUCGUCCAGAAAAAGCCAAACAAAAAUUAGAAUUAGUUACCUUGUCCUAGAACCAAUCUGAGCCUUGCAAUUUUCACAUUAGUAUUUGCAUUGUUGAAUCUUUGCUGCAUUAAUCGUGUCGAGUUGCUGGAUUAGAUUGGAUUGUUUUUCAGAUUUUUUCUACUAGAUCGAACUUGCUUUUGGUUUUCUUGUUCUUUGUGUGACGCAGGUUUCCUUCAUCAAUCUUCCGCCGCCAAACUUCCUGCCACACCACCGCCAUAAUCUUCCGCCGCCACCAUAUCUUCCACCGAGUCCCUCUUCGAGUCCUACACCGAGUCCCUCUUCCAGUCCUACACCGAGUCCCUCGUCGAGUCCUACAUCGAGUCGGCAAGUUAUAGUUUUCAGCCGCGAGUUCGAGUCCGAGUCCAAUCAAGAGUGCUUUUGGAAAGUGUUUCAUAAUAGAUCGAAUUUUAUUUAGAGAUCAAGUUGUUCGGAAAGUUGUGAAAAAAAAGAAGGGAAAGAAAAAAAAAGGGAAGAAAGAAAGAAAAAAAAACGAAAAAAAAAAGAGAAAGAGUUCGAGUCAGUUUCGGACCCGAGUCCGAGUAGAAUUAUAGUUUCGGGUGGGUUUGACCCGUGUUCAGUAAAACGGACGUAUCUUUUGCCUACCAACUCGUAUUUGGACGUUCUUGGACUUUUUGGAAAGCUCAAGACGAAGCGCAUCAGGAAAUAUCUAGGGCAUUGCCCUACACUUUGACCCUCAAAUUCGACCUCUAAGGUGGACUUUUCGAGCUCCAAAGUUUCUGCACCCGUUUUACGGCACCGGGGCAGCGCAGUAUAUCUCAGUUUUCUCCACCGUCCGACCUCCGUUUCGAGUGAUCUUGCACUUGUUGGAAAGCUUGUUUCUAUAUGCUUCUAACCCAUAUUUUCUCAUAUUUUUCUGAGUUUUCCUUACUACAGCCUUUGCUAUUCUCCUACGGACCGACGUGCAGCUUUCCGGUCUUAACUUCUUUUGCGUGAGUUUCUGGGGAUAAAAAAAAAGAAAAAGAAAAUAGAAAAGAAUAAGAAGCCAAACAGAAGGCCACAAAAAGAAAAAAAAAGAGAAAAAAAAUAUUCCCCAGAGAUUUACUUGUUUUACCUUUCAUUUGAUAUUUCCUUUCUACCUUUUUCAGUAUCUAGGCUUAGUUAAUUUCUGUAAUUCGUUCUUGUCGACUCUAGCAACUAGGACUAGCAUUUUUGAGCAUAUUUUCAACUUUGCAUUGCUGAUUUGAUUAUUCGCUUUUCCUUAAUACUCACAUAAGCCUCCAAGCUCCACUAUUCUACACCUAGGUUGGUUUGCCUCGAGGCAUCGAUACACUAAUCUUCGGAGGGUUUGUUCUCGCCGCUGGCCAUCACCUUCCUAUUUGCUGGGUAAGAACGAGUAAGAACUUGAUUAAAAGUUGAGUGGAGUGAUCUUUGGAACCCCACAUCCUAGUAGUGCAUAGGGACUUUUCCUUAUGAUUUGUUUCUUGUUUUCUCCUAACGAUGGCAGGUUCUGAUGAUGAUUGACAAGGCCACUCUCCACGCACAAAGGGCAUUAUUUCACAUUUUGAUCGCAAGCUUAGGCUCCGUAACGAGGAGCUGGAUGAGGACGUUCGCGUUGCGAAUGAGAGACUUGGAACCUUGGAGAGCGCGCACAUUGAAACAAAUACCAAGCUAACAUCUUUACAGAAUUCUGUUGCUACCAUUAGUACUUCUCUGGCAGAAAUCACGACGCAACUGGCGGCAAUUGCUGCAACGACCAUCGCUACACCGGGAGGAAACAAUACACACAACCAGCGGACCGCUAAUAACGGUACCUUCACAAGCGAGGUUGAGGAGAACGACGACGACUACUCUGCGGAUACGGAACACGACGGGGCCGUAAACCAUCACAACGACCGUGAUCAUCGCCGAACUCGUUUCAACCGCCGAGGUAUGGGACCGACACGACCUCACAGAGAGGAACAUGACUCGCUGCAUUCUAUUAAACUUAAGGUUCCUCCUUUUGAUGGAAAAUAUGACCCUGAUGCUUACCUUACAUGGGAAUUAGAAUUGAGUCAAAAAUUUACUUGCCAUGAUUUUCCUGCUAAUAAGAGGGUUAGGGCUGCUACUAGUGAGUUUACUGAUUUUACUUCUGUUUGGUGGCAUGAGUAUUGUAUUGCACAUCCUAACACUAUACCACCAACAUGGGAUGAUUUGAAAAGAAUUAUGCGCGCUAGAUAUGUUCCUUCAUACUAUUCGCGUGACUUGUUAAAGAAACUACAACAAUUAAGGCAAGGUAGUAAUUCUGUCCAAGAUUAUUAUCAAGAAAUGCAAAAGAACAUGUUACGUUGUGGUUUAGUUGAGAAUGAGGAAGCAGCUAUGGCUAGAUUCUUUGGUGGUUUAAAUCGUGAAAUUGCUGACAUUUUUUAUUAUAAGGAGUAUAAUUCUAUCAAUCGAUUGUUUCACAUUGCUUGCAAAGCUGAAAGGGAAGUGCAGGGACGACACGCGAACGCGCGGACUAACUUUUCUGCAGGUCAUACUUCCUCAUGGGCAGCACGCAGCCCCGCUGCCCCUUCCACACGCCCAGCUGCACCCCCUACACGUCCGGCUGUUCCGACUACUUCCACCAACAAGCAAAGUACCUCUACACCUACAUCCGCAAAGGUUGGACCAGCAGCAACAAGAAAUACACCCGCUGCCUCUGCACAAAGUUCAGCAGCGUCCGUUGCUUCCACCGGACGGACCGGAGAUAACCAAUGUCGUAGGUGCAAAGGAUACGGGCAUUUUCAGCGGGACUGUCCAACCAAACGCGUUAUGAUCAUACGUGAAGAUGGAGUAUAUGAUUCAGCCAGUGAUUUUGACGAAGCUACCUAUGCUCUCAUUGCCGAGGAAGAGCAAGAAGACCCCGCUGCCCACCAUGACGAGGAGUUAAUGGGAGCUGAAGCCGCUGAUCAGUACUUGAGUUUGAUUGCACAACGCACCUUGAGCGUCCAAAUGAGCCACGCCGAACAAAAUCAGCAGCAUAACUUGUUCCAAACAAAAGGGGUCAUCAAGGAGCGCGUUGUUCGUAUCAUCAUAGAUGGGGGAAGUUGCAAUAAUUUGGCCAGCACGGAGAUGGUGGAAAAACUUGUUCUUACCACCAGGCCGCACCCCCACCCUUACUACAUUCAAUGGUUUAACAACAGCGGUAAGCUCAAGGUAACUAGAACAGUCCGUGCACACUUUACUAUUGGUACAUAUUCUGAUUUUGUGGAUUGUGAUGUGGUACCUAUGCAAGCAUGUUCUAUGUUACUCGGUCGUCCAUGGCAAUAUGAUACAGAUUCUGUUCAUCAUGGUAGAACUAAUCAUUAUUCUUUUAUGCAUGCUGGUAAGAAAAUUGGUUUGAAACCUAUGACUCCUGAACAAAUUGUGAAAGAUGAUCUUGCUAGAGCUAGUAGAGCAAAGAGCAAAGAGAAGGAUAAGAGUGAGAACCAUAAUGUCGCUAAAGAAUUUAAGCACCAAGCGUCUACUAGCAAAUCUGAACCGAAACAUGUUAAUGAAAUUAAAUUGAAAGGUGCAUGCUUGCUUGCAAGUAAAUCCGAUAUUUCUGAGUUAGAUACGAAUAUCUGUUUGCUAUGCAUUCAUUUGCAAAGAGGCUUUGUUUUCAUUUGAGGAUAUGCCUCCCUCUUUGCCCCCUGCUGUUACUCACGUUUUGCAGGAGUAUUCCGACAUCUUUCCACAAGACGUACCACUAGGAUUACCACCUAUUCGAGGGAUUGAACAUCAAAUUGAUUUAAUUCCUGGUGCUUCGUUGCCCAACCAUGCGCCCUACCGUACCAAUCCAGAGGAGACGAAGGAGAUUCAACGACAAGUUCAAGAAUUGCUCGACAAAGGUUAUAUUCGUGAAUCCCUUAGUCCUUGUGUUGUUCCUGUUAUUUUGGUACCAAAGAAAGAUGGUUCUUGGCGUAUGUGUGUAGAUUGUAGAGCUAUUAAUAACAUUACUAUUCGCUAUCGUCACCCAAUUCCUAGACUUGAUGAUAUGUUUUACGUGCAUUUAAAACUAAGUUUGGACUAUAUGAGUGGUUACUCAUGCCUUUCGGUCUUACUAACGCACCUAGCACUUUCAUGCGGUUAAUGAACGAAGUUUUACGUGCUUUCAUAGGACGAUUUGUGGUGGUUUAUUUUGAUGAUAUAUUGAUUUACAGCAGCUCUUUAGAAGACCACUUGAAUCAUUUACGUGCUGUUUUUGAUGCUUUGAGAGAUGCACGUUUGUUUGGUAACCUUGAGAAGUGCACCUUUUGCACCGAUCGAGUUUCGUUUCUUGGCUAUGUUGUCACUCCACAGGGCAUAGAAGUUGAUAAGGCCAAGAUCGACGCUAUUCAAAGCUGGCCAACUCCAACAACGGUCACCCAAGUGAGGAGCUUUCUUGGACUCGCUGGGUUUUAUCGCCGCUUUGUAAAGGAUUUCAGCACCCUUGCUGCACCGCUUAAUGAGCUCACAAAGAAGGACGUUCCAUAUGUAUGGGGCGCUGCACAAGAAGAAGCUUUUCUCAUAUUGAAAGAUAAGUUGACACAUGCUCCUUUACUCCAACUUCCUGAUUUUAAUAAGACUUUUGAGUUGGAGUGUGAUGCUAGUGGAAUCGGUUUAGGAGGUGUGUUGUUACAAGACGGAAAACCUGUUGCAUACUUUAGUGAAAAAUUGAGUGGGCCUAGUCUGAAUUAUUCUACUUAUGAUAAGGAAUUAUAUGCUCUCGUUCGGACUUUAGAAACAUGGCAACAUUAUUUAUGGCCCAAAGAAUUUGUUAUACAUUCUGAUCAUGAAUCUUUGAAGCAUAUUUGUAGUCAAGAAAAGCUGAACCGUCGUCAUGCUAAAUGGGUUGAAUUUAUUGAGUCUUUUCCGUAUGUUAUUAAACAUAAGAAGGGUAAAGAUAAUGUUAUUGCUGAUGCGUUAUCACGUCGUUAUACCUUGUUAUCUCAGCUUGAUUUUCGGAUAUUUGGAUUGGAGACUAUAAAAGAACAAUACGAAUAUGAUGCAGAUUUUAAGGAUGUUUUGCAGCAUUGUAAAGAGAGCAGAACAUGGAACAAGUUCGUCAUUAAUGAUGGAUUUGUGUUCCGUGCUAACAAGCUAUGCAUCCCAGAUAGCUCCGUUCGUCUUUUGUUGUUACAGGAGGCACAUGGAGGAGGGUUGAUGGGUCACUUCGGCGUGAAGAAGACCGAAGAUGUGCUCGCUGAUCAUUUCUUUUGGCCUCGGAUGAGACGGGAUGUUGAGAGAUUUAUCGCUCGCUGCACUACAUGUCAAAAAGCUAAGUCACGACUCAAUCCUCAUGGUUUAUAUAUGCCUCUCCCUGUUCCUAAUGUUCCUUGGGAAGAUAUAUCAACGGAUUUUGUUUUGGGAUUGCCUCGAACUAAGAAGGGGAGGGAUAGCAUAUUUGUUGUUGUUGAUAGAUUUUCUAAGAUGGCACAUUUUAUACCUUGUCAUAAGAGCGAUGAUGCUACAAAUGUUGCUGAUUUAUUCUUUCGUGAAAUUGUUCGCUUGCAUGGUGUGCCCAAUACUAUAGUUUCAGAUCGUGACACAAAAUUUCUUAGCCACUUUUGGAGAUGUUUAUGGGCUAAGUUGGGGACUAAAUUGCUUUUUAGUACUACAUGUCAUCCCCAAACAGAUGGACAAACUGAAGUUGUUAAUUGAACAUUAUCUACUAUGCUUAGGGCUGUUUUAAAGAAGAACUUGAAAAUGUGGGAAGAAUGUUUACCUCAUAUUGAAUUUGCUUAUAAUCGUUCACUGCAUUCAACCACAAAAUUGUGCCCUUUUGAAAUUGUUUAUGGUUUUAUACCUCGUGCACCAAUUGAUUUGCUACCUUUGCCAACUUCUGAAAAAGUUAACUUUGAUGCUAAGGAACGUGCUGAACUUAUAAUAAAAUGCAUGAGACGACUAAAGAGAACAUUGAGCGCAUGAAUUCUAAGUAUAAACUUGCGGGAGAUAGGGCAGAAAACAAAUUGUGUUUGAACCUGGAGAUCUUGUUUCAGCAUUUGCGCAAAGAUCGUUUCCCUGAUUUGCGCAAGUCUAAGUUAAUGCCACGAGCUGAUGGUCCUUUUAAGGUGUUAGCAAAAAUUAAUGAUAAUGCAUAUAAACUUGAGCUACCUGCAGAUUUUGGGGUUAGUCCCACGUUUAAUAUUGCAGAUUUGAAGCCUUAUUUGGGAGAAGAAGAUGAACUACCGUCGAGGACGACUUCGAUUCAAGAAGGGGAGGAUGAUGAGGACAUCCCAAGUAAUGAUACAAUCACAGCCCCUACAGCACCUACACCUCAAGUACCGGAGAUACAUGGACCAAUUACUAGAGCUCGUGCAUGACAACUAAAUUAUCAGGUACUUUCGUUCCUCGGUACUUCAUUUAAUAUUAAUGAGAAUAUGCUGCUGCCUAAGAUGGGUUCUUUUAUGUGUUUUAGGAAUGAAGGACCUAGCUUGGACCUCAAGGAUCAGCGUUGGACAGCAAACCAUGGAGGUGGCAGCAAGGUGGCGGGAGCUAGCUCAAGUGAUGAUUUCAGAACAUUGAAACCGCCAUAACGAGAUAUGAGAAGAAGGCCGCAUCCUCUUCAUCAAUGGGAUUUCGGCCAAGUGGAGGAUUGCCCCUCCAAUGGGUAUCUAUGGGCCAAACAUGAGAGUUAUAACCUUGCUUUAUUGGGCUUAAGGCCAUGUAAUAGGGUCCAGCCAAUUUUUAGAUGUUUUCGUUGUGUUUUAGGAGGAUUCCUAGGCCGUUUCGGAGUUCCUCAAGGGCCUGGCCGAAAACCACCUAGUUCCCCUCGUAUUUAUACCCCAUGAGCCCCCCCAUGGAGCCUUGGGUUUUGAUUAGAUAAAGUUUAGCCUUUGCUACUUUCGUGUAAUCGCGUGUGUCGGUUAGACCACCUGUUUUACCGUCAUCAAGACUCCAACUAUAUUGAGUAUUCAGAUUCGUGAACCUUCAUAUCUCCUAUUCGCAAUUUCAGAUUGCUUUUCAUCUUGUUCUUGCUUGUUCUUGCUUGUUCUUCGAUUGCUUGCAGGAACAAAGACCUUCGUGGUCAGGUUGAUCGUGCCCCCGCGGGAUCAAUAACCUUCUGGAGUUGGUGUAUCGAUCGCUAAGGCGCUGCCUCCUAGGUUGUAGUCGGAUCGUCAACGUCACCUCCUACCAAAUCGAUAAUUAGGUAUCUCAUCGAAAGAUCGGGACACCCUCGAGGCUAUCAGCGGUGGUGCCGGAUGCGGAAUGCCCUCGCCGUGCGGGAACGCCCUCCUCGGGGGCGUGACAGGGCGCGCGCCGAGGAGCGGCGCGAGUCCGACUAUUCCGGCGGCGACGAGCCAGGCUUCCAGGAGCCUCGUGGCGUCGCCUGCAUCCAUGGGGGAGCUUACGCUCUCCCAUCCCACGCCGCGGUGUGCGCGCUGUUGCCGGAUGCGGAGCCGCAACAGCCGCUGAGGUGGUCGCACGUGCCGAUCACCUUCAGCGCCGACGACCACCCGGUGCGACAAUUGGGUUCCAGGGUAAUACCCUUCGUCGUCUCGUCGAUCAUUAGCAAUAUGACGGUGACCAAGGUGCUGGUGGACAACGAAGCAGGGCUUAACCUCCUAUCCGCCAAGCUGGUGGAAAAGCUCCAGCUGCCGAUGGAGCAGCUGAAGCCCACCGAACCGUUCCGGGGGAUGAACCCCGGGAUCGUGCGCCCGCCGAGACGCAUCACGCUGCCGGUCACCUUUGGGUCCCGAGAAGCAUUUAGGACCGAGCAGAUAGUGUUCAACGUGGCGCAUACCCCGUUCCCCUACAACGGGAUCCUUGGUCAGCCGGCACUGAUCAAGUUUAUGGCGGCUACGCAUUGCGCCUACGGCGUGAUGAAGAUGCCGUCCGUCUACGGAGUCCUCUCCAUCGGGUGCAAUCUCAAAGACGCUGCUUGGUGCGUUGGCGAGGUCGUCCGGGCCGCUGCUGCAGCUGACGCCGGCGACGAAGGUGUUCUCGAGGACGACGCCUUGCCGGGUGACGCCCCGACAACGAAGAAGCCCCGCGCCACCCCGCAAGGCGCAGGCUCGGGCUCGCGUCCCGGCAAGCGGCGAGGGCUCCGGGAGGAGGCCGCCAAAGUGAAGAAGCUGCCCCUCCAAGCCGGCGAUAAGGAGCGCACCGUUACCAUCAGUGUGAACCUGACCGCCGAAUAGGAAAGCGCCCUCGUCACCUUCCUCCGGGAAAACGCCGACGUGUUCGCCUGGGAACCGUCGGACCUUCCCGGAGUCCCCAGGGAGGUGAUUGAGCAUCGGCUCGCGGUGCGCCCGGACGCGCACCCCGUCAAGCAGAAGAUCCGGCGGCAGGCACAAGAGCGGAAAGAUUUUAUCAAGCAAGAGGUGGGCAAGCUCAAGUCUGCCGGGGCGAUCAGAGAAGUUUUGUACCCCACUUGGCUGGCUAACCCUGUAGUAGUGCCCAAAGGGGGGAAUAAGCUUCGCAUGUGCGUAGAUUUUACCGAUCUUAACCGUGCGUGCCCCAAGGAUCCCUUCCCUGUACCCCGUAUCGACCAGAUAGUUGAUUCUACCGCUGGUUGUGACCUGCUGAGUUUUCUGGAUGCUUUCUCCGGCUACCAUCAAAUCAAGAUGGCGGUCGAGGAUGAGGAAAAGACAACGUUUAUCACCCCGGUUGGCUGCUACUGCUAUACGUGCAUGCCUUUCGGGUUGAAGAACGCGGGCUCCACAUUCCAGCGCGCCCUGCGAGAAUGUUUGGGGCCCCAGCUAGGCCGCAGCGCGGAGGCCUUCAUGGAUGACAUCGUCAUCAAAUCGAAGCGUAGGGACUCGCUGAUUGAUGACCUGCGGGAGACAUUUGACAACCUCCACAAGAUCAAGCUCAGGCAGAACCCUGAUAAGUGCACCUUCGGUGUCAACUCCGGGCAGCUUCUGGGUUUCUUGGUUUCACACCAGGGGAUACAGGGCAACCCGACCAAAAUAGAAGCCAUCGAGAAGAUGGAGGCCCCCCGCAAGGUGAAAGAUGUCCAGCGACUCAACGGCUGCGUUGCCGCGCUUGGACGCUUCAUCUCCAGGCUGGGCGAGCGUGCCCUGCCUUUCUUCCAGGUAAUGAAGAAGAAGGGUCCAGUCGACUGGACUGCCGAGGCCGAGGCGGCGCUCCAGGAACUCAAGCGAUACCUGAGGUCACCGCCCAUCCUCGUCGCCCCCAAGUUGGGCGAGCCGUUGCUACUCUACUUAGCGGCGACUGACUAGGUGGUCAGCUCAGUGCUGGUUGCCGAGAGGGAGGAAGACAUCCCGGGGAUUGGGGCUGCGGGGCAGGGGGCUUAGCAGCCUCCAGCAACCGCCUCAAACCCAGGGACCACCCUAGAGCUGGCAACCCCAGCGCCUCGAAAGCGGUUGGUGCAGCGACCGGUAUACUUCGUCAGUACGGUGUUGCGCGAUGCACGGACAAGAUACCCGCAAGUACAGAAGCUCCUUCUGGGGAUUCUCCUUGCGUCCCGUAAGUUGCGCCACUACUUCCAGGCGCACCACGUCACGGUGGUGUCCGGGUUCUGCCUCGAGAGGACCCUCACCAACCGUGAAGCCACCGGGAGGGUGGCCGAAUGGAGGAUGGAGCUAUCGGAGUUUGACCUCCACUUCGCCAACUCCAAAAACAUCAAGAGCACGGCCCUGGCGGACUUCAUCGCGGAGUGGACGUCCACGGGCGUAGAAGAAAGUGAGUCGGAGACCGGCCUUCCCGGCAAGCUGGACGAGGACCACUGGGUCCUCUACUUCGACGGUGCGUUCAGUCUCCAGGGAGCGGGGGCUAGGGUCGUCAUCGACUCACCCACAGGGGACCAGCUGCGGUUCGCCGUCCAACUCAACUUCGCUAACUCCACCAACAACACGGCGGAGUACGAAGGCCUGCUUGUCAGGCUGCGGGCAGCGAUCGCCCUCGACAUUAAGCGCCUAGUUGUUCACGGUGAUUCCCAGCUUGUGAUCAACCAGGUGAACAAGGACUACGAUUGCCCUCAAAUGGCGCUGUACAUAGAAGAGGUCCGCAAGCUGGAACGGAAGUUCAAGGGUUUGCGCUUUGAGCACGUCAAGCGAAGGGACAACUUCGCUGCUGACGAGCUGACCAAGAUGGCAGCAGAGCGCCGGAAGCCUCCGGCGGGGGUGUUCUGUCAGAAGCAACUGGCUCCUUCAGUCACCCCCCAGCCGGCUGCCGGGGAUGCCCCUCCGGCAACCGAGGGAACCCCUGCAGUCGCAGGGGUCCAUGCCGCUGAUAUGGCGGCAUGCGCUAGAAGAGAAAUUCCUCCCUGGGCAGAAGAGAUCGCCCGCUAUUUGAAAGGAGAGGCUCUCCCGGAGGAUGACGUCGCCGCGGAGCGCGUAGCGCGGCAAGCCAAGAUGUACACUGGGAUAGACGGCAGCGUCUACCGCAGGCGUGCGAAUGGUGUCAAACUCCUUUGCGUGUCGCAGGAAGAAGGGUGUGCGCUGUUGGAAGACAUACAUCGAGGCACAUGUUCGCACCAUGUGGUCUCCCGGGCUUUGGCCGGGAAAGUUUUCCGGCAUGGCUUCUACUGGCCCACGGCCCUGGCCGACGCAGAGCGGCUGGUGAGGACGUGCGAAGCGUGCCAGUUCCACUCAAAGAAGAGCAACCAACCAGCCCAGGCCCUGCAUGUCAUCCCGUCCUCAUGGCCGUUCGCGGUCUGGGGACUGGACAUCGUCGGCAAGCUACCAAGGGCGGUUGGCAGUUACGAAUACUUGUUUGUGGCCGUCGACAAGUUCUCCAAAUGGGUGGAGGUGGAACCAGUGCGCAAGGUGACCGCCCAGGCGGCCAUCAAGUUCCUUAAGAGAAUUGUGUGCCGGUUUGGUGUUCCUAACAGCAUCGUCACCGACAACGGCACGCAAUUCACGAGCGCGGCAUUUCAAGCCUACUCCGAAGGCAUGGGCACUAAGCUGCGCUUCGCGUCCGUCGCUCACCCGAGGAGCAACGGACAGGCGGAGCGAGCCAACGCAGAGGUUCUGCGGCGGCUCAAGACAAGAACCUUUGACAAGCUCAAAGGCCACGGGAAGCACUGGAUUGAAAAACUCCAGCUCGUGCUGUGGUCCAUCCGGACCACACCUAGUCGGGCAACGGGCGGAACUCCUUUCACCCUUGUCUACGGGGCAGAAGCGGUGCUGCCCCUCGAGCUCAAGUACGGAUCUCCCCGAGUACGCGCGUACGGCGACACCAGCCAACACGAGCAAAGGGUCGACGAUCUAAACUUCAUCGAAGAGCUUCGGUGCUGGCUGCUGUGCGAGCCGGGCGCUACCAGCAGGGACUCCGUCAUUAUCACGACAGACGAGUCCGUCCCCGGGGGCUCGAGAACGGAGACCUUGUCCUGCGCCGGAUACAAGGAACGAAGGCCGGGAACAAGUUGACUCCGAAAUGGGAGGGGCCCUUCCGGGUAGUGCAGGUGACCAGGCCGGGGGCUGUCCGCCUGGAAAUCGAAGACGGCUUGCCGGUGCUCAAUAGCUGGAAUAUUGAACACUUGCGCAAAUUCUACCCGUGAAGCGGCGGAGCCCGACCCUCAGGUGAUGCCUCCGAUGCAUACCUCUCGAACUAGUGUAACCGGGCAGCCCCCGUGUGUAAACCGCUAGUUAAUUGUGAAUAAAGAUAAGUGUUUCACCCCUGAGCUUUGCUUUUGCCUUGUUCGUUUUUCGUGUUUUCCCCUUCCUGCCUCCUGCUUUAAGUGCACAAAGGUGUCUUUCCCUACUUGGUUGUGAGCAAGGGGCUGCCGUGGCCCCGAAACGAAAACCCGUUGCCGGAUCCUUCCAGCACUGGACAUGCCAUUGGCGGGCUUCCCGCAACGUGCAUCACUGGACAUGCCGUUGGCGGGCUUCCCGCAACGUGCAUCACUGGACAUGCCGUUGGCGGGCUUCCCGCAACGUGCAUCACUGGACAUGCCGUUGGCGUGCAGUUGCUCGGCCUCCCGCAGCCUGCACCGCGGAGUCGCUCUGCCUGGGGAAGGAAAUGCUCACAUCCAAGUUUGGCAUUGACCCCUUUGUGCCGGGGGCUGGGGAGCAGGAGAGAUUUGUCUGAUUUACCUGUGUUACUUGUUUUCGUAAGUUUCGAAAAAAAUUCAGCACCUCGGAUCUGGUAAGAGUCUAACCUACAGGAAAGGGAGGAAUUUUGUACACUGUGGUGCCUGUGAGCUGCCCACGGGUCGCACCAUACACCGGUGCCUUGUGGCGGGGGAGGACCGCAACACAAGGGGUUCACCGCACUUCGAGGCUUCUGAGUUGACGGCUGGCCGCCACGUGUGCGGCGGUUACCCGGUAAGCAUGGCGGCGGAAACGGCGUCACGUUCCAGGAAAAGGCGCCACAGUGCCGCGCGGAUCCGUCGCGCGCGGUGGCAAGCCUCCCUCCCGCGUCUAUAAAAGGCGCGCCCCAACCAUGGAAUUGCUCAGAGCGAAGCCGGGUUCGGGGCCGUGAAAGCAGGUGGUGCGACGGAGGCGCGGAGGUGGUGCUUCCCGCCAGCGCCUAGCGCCGGCUGGUGCGCCGCCAUCGCGCCCCUGCCGCAUCACCCCAUCGAGCCCACCCCAAGGGGCGCCGCAGAGGCGCGGUGGUAGUGCGUGCCAUCGGCGCCCUGCGCCGACAGGUGCACUGCCGUUGUGCCCCUGCUGCGCUUCCUCAAAGGGGCGGUUCCGGGGCGAGGGUCGCCACAGAGGCACUAUGGUGGUGCAUCCCGUCAGCAUCCGGCGCCGACGGGGUGCAUUGCCACAGUGCCCGUGUCGCCCCCGCCGAAGGGUACCUCCGCAAGGAGCAGGGGCUGCCGCGGAGACUCUAUGAUAGUGCAUGCCAUCCGUGCCUUGUGCCGGCGGGUGCACUAUCAUAGGGACCCGGCCGCAUUCCCGUUGAGAGAGCCUUUUUCGGGCGCGGGUCGUUGCGAGGACGCUGUGAUGGCGCCCAUGCCGGCGCUCGUCGCUCGUUCCGGCCCAUCACCGCGUCCUUGCCGCGGCCCUCGAGCAGUUUAGCUCCCGGGUAACAAGGGUCGUCGCAUCCCUGGGGACGACUUCCCUAGAGAAAACCCAAGUCUCCCCAGUUGGGCUGUCGCUGGAAGGCUAUAACCUCCUCGUCGCCCGUGCCCGCCGUUCGGGGUGUGGCGAAGCCGGCGCCGAGGACAUUAUAGCGAUCUCGCGGCUGCUCCCGGAGCGGAGUCCUCCUAAGCCAGGGUUCGUCCCUGAAGGCCAGGGUCCGCCCCUGAGGGCGAGGGUUCCCGCCGCAUCCCUCCGAGAUCGUUUCCCUUGAACUGGUACCCCAGAUGGUUUCCUACCGAGGCAGUGCCCCAUCUGCACGCUACCGCAGAGCAUCGCGGAACAUUGGACCAAACGGAAAAGCUAAGUAUCUGAACAUGGACGCUGAAUUCGCUAAGAGCUGAACGAAAUCGAGCACUGCCCCGCUGGGUGCGGCCCCGGAUCCCGCGCGUAACCGGAGUGUUAGAAGGGACGCUUGCGGGGGGAGUGCGCUCCCCGUGUGGCCCCCGGGUCCGCUCCGGGAGGACACGGCUUGGAGUGGUUACCCCGCAAGCGGAGUGACUCCCCGCUACCGCUUGGCCCCAGGUCGGCACUGCGGGUCCGUCCUGGGUCCCUGGUCUGGUCAAGGGUGAGGCGUGCGUGAGUCCCCCCGCAACACAAGGCAGGACACGCAAAGGCUAAGGGAACCACCCCGCGAGGCGGCCUCGGGAAUAAAGGACAAAAAUUGAGCAAACUAUCAAGCUUGAUUAACUAAGUGUCAAAUGGUUACAUGGACUAAUCAAAAGGGUCAUUGUCCAAACGGCGCUAAGCGCCAUACUUGCAGGAAAAGCAAACAAGAAGGAGGUACAGGGGAAGCAACGAGUAUAGCUGGGGGCUGCGGCCACUAGCUGUCGCCGUCUUCGGCCGGGGGGUCGACGGGGGUUCAGGCUCCGGCUUCAUCUGCAUCCGCUCGACGACCUCGUCGACAAACUCGCGCACUGCUUGGGUGUGCGUGGGCUCGUCCUCGCUGUCGGACCAAGCAUCCAGCGGAGACUCGAAGGGGAAUUCCGGGUCCCAUAGAUGGAUUCGCGGGAGGAUUGUCCCGGCAACCUCCUGGGCGCAGUUGGCGACUUCGUUGGCGCCGUACUUGGCGAUCCAGACGUCGACCGCCCCGAGCUUCCCCAACAAGUCGGAGAAGAAGGGGAUCAGCGUCGUGACAUCCGUGCCGUCCACCUCUGCUGCCUGCAGCUCGAACUUGGGCAGCAGGUCGCGCAGCGACUCGGCGAUCUUCGCCAGCUUCUCCGUCUCGAGCUGCCGCUGCCCGAUCAGCGUGCUGUGAUGGAGUCGGGCGUCUUGCGCGGCCUUCUUGGCCUUGCUGACGCGGCCCUCCAACUUCGCAAGCUCCAAGGCUUGGGUCGCGUUGGCCUCGCCGGCCUUGGUGAGCUCUUCCCGGACGGCGGCCAACUCGUCCUUGAGCCCGGCCGCUUUGCCUUUGACGGAGUUGAGCUCGGCCUCGUGCGGAGUCACCGCUCUCGCCGCGUCCUCAGCAGCCUUGACCUGCACCUUCAGCAGGACGCGGAGGCCUUCGAUUUCGCCGCGGUAGUGAGCGAUCAGCUCGCUCUUCUCGUCCAGCCGCACCUGGGCCGUCGCGAGCACCUCGGCAUGCUCCUUCCGGGACGCUUCUAGGGUUACCGCCAUUGCGUCGAGCCUUCCUGGGAGCUCCGUGCGCUGGACCUCCAGUUGCUGACGGAGCUCGGUCUCCGGGACUACCGGCUCCCGGGCAGCCUCCAGGGCUUGUCGGGCCAGCCGCGCCUCCUCGCGCAGCCGGGAGAGUUCGUGCCGCUCUCUCUCGACAGCCUCCCGCAACUCGCCGAGUUGAUUCUUGGCGGCGGUGUGGCGCUCCCUCACCUCGUUAUAGGAGGUGUCGAAGGCGAACUGCUGGUCCCGAAUGGCGUCCAGAAACCGGUGGCCCCGCUCGAAGACGCUCGGAUCCCCGGUAAGAGGAUUCCAAGCGACCCCGGCGAGGGUGCCGAGGUCGGUGCCGAGGAGAGCCCCCGAGGAUGAUGAAGCCCCAGCUGCCGAAGUGGAGCUGGGCGCGGGGUCGCCAAUUUGCUCCCGGGGGUCUUGCCGUCCUUCCCCAACAACUUCCCCCACGCCUAGGCUCCGGGGCACCGGGGUUGGAAAGGGCUCCCUGCUCCCGGCAGGGGUCGUCCCCUGUUGGAGAACGGGUGAGCCCGAGCCGGCCACGUCCGCGGCUUCGGGCGCGUAGCCGAGUGCCGCCGCCGCGGCGGCGGUCCCCACUGCUGCAGCUGUGUCCGUCGCGGCAGGCACGGACACAGGAGCCGUUUCCGACUCCACUUCCGCCCCCGCGGUCCUGACGACCGAGUCGGGAUUGACGACGGCCGCGCCUGUUCCGGGCGCGGGCGCACUUGUGCCUGCACCCGUGGAAAAGCAUGAGGGUCGGCGAUGGUUGGUGCUAUCGAAGGCGAAUAAGGGCGACCGGGGCGGUUACCUUGUGCGGCCGUCGGGCUUGCCGGUGCGGCCACCACUACCUCACCUGCGCCAGCGGGAGCAUCCAAGGGUCUUACCGCGGGCGAGCUGCCGCUCGCUGCAGAAAGAGAAGGUAUGUUUGUGAAUUUUGCUAGCAGGAAUUGCAGUUGCAGAGAAUCGACAAAGACAUACCUGGUGCCGGCUCUGUCUCUGCUUGGGCUGGGUCGCCAAGGGGCGCGCCUGCGCCGACGCAGGCCCCCGAGGCAGCGGGGUCGGUGGCGUCGCCAGCGUCCGCGCGCAUCCUUUUGCUUGGCGAGCCGGGCGGGGAAUCACUUCUCGCCCUCUUGCUGGCGCCCGCGGGCGAGGAGGACUUCAGAGGGUUGCGCCGGAGCACGAAGCCCCGGAAGACCCCCUGAGCGGGCGGCGCCGUGGGCGCCCGCAGUGUCGUCGUGACCCGGAGAGCUCCAGGUGUCAACGGCGAUGCCGCCGCGACGCCGGGCGCCAAGCUCGCGGAGGCCCCCGCUACUGGAGCGAAGGCCGUCGCCGGGGUGCCGAUGGACCCCGCAGGUGCUGACGUUGCCGGGGUACCGGCGAGCACCCCGGGGCCGGGUCCCGCCGCGGAGCUGGCGGCCGCUGGCAAGACAGGGGCCGCCGCCGAGGCACUCGCGGCCCCUGUUGCCGCGGAUGCCGUCGUGGUACCAACGGGCGCCCCAGGAGCGGCGGCUGCCGCUAGGUUAGGGGCCGCUGCCGGGGCGGACGUCGCUGUUGAGGAAGUGGCUGCGACCACAUCAAACGCCCUCGACCUUCUCAGGAUCAGGGGCGCGCUGUCACUGCUUUCCUCGUCGUCGUCCUCCACGGCGACGACUUCCGGGGACGCAACCACCUGGCCCGCCUUGUCGUCCAGCGACCGGAGGGAGGGCCAGCUGGGCUCGGACCCGCCCUCGCUCUCCUCGAGCACCUGCUUCCCGCGGGGUGCUUGCGGGAGAGCGUGCGGGACGCGGGUGGGGGUGUCGUCCAUCAGCCCCCACUCGUUGCAGGGCGGGAAGGCGCCGACGAUGUCGCUGAGCGCCUUGACGCCGGCAUGGAGAGCAGAGACCCCCGGCGGGAACUCUAUCGACUGGAAGACCUCGCCGGAGAUCCCCUUCACCCACGUCUUGAGGGACUCCAAGUCCAUGCCGUCCGCCUGGAGGCAUGUCCUGUCCCCGGAGCCCGUGUACAUCCACGCGGGCCGGGAACGCAGCUGCAGCGGGGCUAUGCGCCGAUGGACGAAGGUGCGCGCCACGUCGCCGUCUGUGAGCCCCGCUGGCCGCAACGCCUUGAUCUUCUCCACGAUGGGGAGGAGGUCGGCGUCGCGGUGGUACCUGUCCGGCCAGCCGAUCUGGGGCACCGGCAGCCCCGUCGGCGGUUGGAUGAACUCCUGGGGGUCCUCCACUCGGACCCAGCACCAGUCGCCCCGCCACUCUUUUUCGAUCUUCUUCCCCGACCGAACGAUGAACUCCGAAUUUAUCUGGUCGCGGGCGCGGAAAACCACCCCUGACGACAUCGCCUUUGCGUUGUCGAUGCGCGGGUAAAAGUAAUGGCGGAAGAGCCCCACCAACGGCAUCACUCCCACGAACGCCUCGCAGAGGAACUGGAAGGUGGCGAGGAGGAAGAGCGAGGUGGGGUGGAGCUGCGCCACCUGCAACUGAUAGGAUUCCAUCAGUGCGUGGAGGAACAGAGAGAAGGGCGGCACCAGGCCGCAGAGGAGGAAGCGCGCGAACACCCGGAAGUCGUUAUCCUGGUGUUCGACGCCCGCCGGGAAGAUCCGCGUCUCCCCGUGCUCGUUGAAGUUGGAGGCGACGGCGUGCCGGAGCUUCCCCAGCGCCUCGCCGUUGUAUCCGGGGUGGAAGAAGGCUACUUUUGCGCGCAUCUCCCGCCUCUUCUGGUCCUUGGUGGCGGCCGCUUUGAGUGCCGCCUCGGUCUUCCUGGUCGCGGGCUUCUUCGAAGACUGGACUUCCUUCCCCUUCCUGGCGGUGGGGGGCGCCAUGGGGAGCGAGGGCGGUAGCGGGCGAGAGCGCAGGGAUGCGAGAUGCGGAAGAGGGUGGAGGCGAAAGGGCAAAGUGUUGCUCCCCGUUGCCAACAGUGGAAGCUUUAUGACGCCCGGUCGUUUGGUAACGGCCGGUUCCGUACCCUACGGGUGCGCGGGGAUAACUCCUAAUCACUGGGAGUGAUGCACGGGGUGGCCUUAACUACCCUAUUUAGGGGGGGGGGAAGUUAGGGCGGAAAUCUCGCGCCCACUACUCCGCUUUUGGCGGCACUGUACACGGGGCAGCGAAGGGACGCGGGCCCGCAACUGAUCGGGGGCCCACGUGUCGGUUAAGGGCGUAGCCCGGCAACCGGCUAGGAAGAGACCCUUCCGGGAACAGGUGAUGCCGGCCCACGCCCGGGGGCUACUGUCGCACCAGUGGCACACGGGGUACCACCGCUGCGUGACGCGUGGCCCCCUCCCCCGGGUUCCCGGGAAGGUCUCAUCCCGGGGAGCGCCGACGAGCUUCCCGGCAAGCUACCAGCCCGAAAGAGGCUAGCGGGGCUUCUGGGAAUAUUCCCGCUUAGGCACCCUCCCGGGUGCGCUGGGCCCGGGUGCUUCCCGGGCCGACUUGCGGGGACUGGGGAUUCCCGGACGCUUGCCCCCGCCUCGGGUCGUGGGGCCCACUGGACAGCGCCACGCAGGCGCGUGACGGGCGCGGAACGCGCGGUCCCACCAAGGCAAGGGGUAAGGCACGCGGCUCAGUGAACGAGCCGACCUAAGGGUAGUUACCCAUCCGAUCCAAGGAACAGUGGUUGUCCAAUCCUACCCUAGGGCCCUAGGCCCCUCGCAGCGGAGGUGGCACCCAUGCAUGCCACCAGCUCACCAGGGAGAGUUGCUUGCCUCCCCGUUGGACGCUUGUAGCCCAUGCAUCGUGGCACGUGUGGCAUCCCCUUGUGUAUAAAAGGAGGACCCAUGCCAACGGUCAAGGGGGUUAGAGGGUUGACGGGUCAGACAGUGGGAGAGGAGAGUCAGUUGGUCAGUUAGUUGGUUCGGGCGAAGCUCGCUCGAUAGACGCUUACUGGCUCCAGUAGGCAGCCGGCGGAGAGUAGUGAGGAGUGCCUAGCCACUGAGAGCAAGCCCGGGAGCUUGCCCGGCGAACUGUAAACAUUUGAUCCGUAAUCAAUAUCAGCUCAGACAGGCAGAACGUAGGGUUUUACACCUCCGGGUGGCCCGAACCUGGGUAAAAAACAUGCGUGCGUCUGUUCUUGGACCAGCGCGUACCCCUAGCACUUUGCCUCGCCGACCCCGUAGGGCCUCAUCGGCUGUGCCGGCGAUCAUCUGGUCUCCACCCCAGAUGCCCCUACCGAACCUAAAAGGGGGACGUGACUGCACGCCCCCGGUGUCGGAGCACCGAGCGACGACAUCUGGCACGCCAGGUAGGGGGCGCGGGAGUGGACAGCGCCGGAGAUCGCCGGCAGCGGAAGUUCCCAUCGGCAUCGGCUUCACUCUUCUUCGUCGACGAGCCUUGUCACCAUGCCCCCCAAGCGGGCUGGUGAUCCACGCAUAGACCCGCGUGAGGCCCCAGCGGCGCACACGCGGUCGCACGACGUGCGACCCGAGUCGGGAGCUCAAGAGAAUCCCGAGCCCUCGAGGGUGCAUCAAACGCAGUUGCCUCCACCGCCUCCCCGACCGUCAACCGACAAUCGGCCGAGGGGACCGGCUGCCCCCCGCGUCGGGGGCAGUCGGGCGAGCACGCAUGGCGUCGCCCGGGCCAGCCAACGGGUGGAGUCGCGGCAUGCACGUCUAACAGUAGCAGCCAACCGUGGUGAGAAAUGCUGUUUUCUCCUCAUCUUCGACUGCCAUCUUCAUCUGAUGGUAGCCGGAGAAGGCGUUUAAGAAGCAAAAGACUCGCAACCCGCUAUAGAAUGUACUAUUUGAUCGAUACGAGGUACAGGGAAGGGGUCCUUAGGACAUGCACGAUUAAAAUUAGUAAAAUCUACGCACAUGCGCAAUUCAUUUCCAGCUUUAGGGACUACAAUAGGGUUUGCUAACCAAGUAGGGUACAACACUUCCCUGAUUGCCCCGGCGUUCUUGAGCUUCUCCACUUCCUGCUGGAUGAAGUCCUUGCAUUCUUGCGCUUGCCGGCAAACCUUUUGCUUGACGGGCCGUGUGUCUGGCCGCACCGCCAGCCGAUGCUCGAUCACCUCCCUAGGGACUCCGGGAAGAUCUGACGGCUCCCAAGCAAACACGUCAGAGUUCUCCCGGAGGAAGGCGACGAGGGCGCUUUCCUAUUUGUCGCCGAGGCUCGCACCAAUGGAGACGGUGCGUGCCUCGUUGCCGGCAUGCAGUGCCACCUUCUUGACCUUGAUGCCCUCCUCCUUCAGCUUUGUGCCCUUGCUUACGCGCGGGCGGGAGCUGGAGCUACCCCCGGCAUCCUGCCGGGGAGCAUUGAUGUUUCUUCUCAAUGUGCCUAGGUUAAUAGGAGCAUGGGUGUUUUCUGCAUACGGUAGAUUGUCAUCCCAACUGGAUCCAUAAUCUUCAAGGAUCUGAUUUACUCUCUCGGUCUGUCCAUCCGUCUGCGGAUGAAAGGCUGUACUAAAUUCUAGUCUCGUUCCUAGAGACUCAUGUAGUUGUCCCCAAAUCUUGAGGUAAAUUGGGUACCUCUGUCUGAAACUAUUUCCUUGGGUACUCCGUGUAAACACACUAUUCUGGAUAUGUAGCGUUUUGCUAACUGUGCGCUGGUGUAAGUGGUCUUCACUGGUAUGAAGUGGGCAACCUUGGUCAAACGGUCAACCACUACCCAAAUAGAAUCAGAUCCUGAUCUGGUCCUUGGUAAACCGGUGAUAAAGUCCAUGCCGACUUUAUCCCAUUUCCAGUCCGGUAUAGGGAAUGGUCUCAGCAAUCCUGCUGGCUUCUGGUGCUCUGCCUUAACCCUGCUGCACACAUCACACAAGGCAAUGAACUCUGCGAUGUCACGCUUCAAUCCGGACCACCAAAAUGUUUCCUUGAGGUCCAUGUACAUCUUUGUGUUUCCAGGGUGGAUUGAGUACGGUGAAUCAUGGGCUUCUUGCAGAAUCAACUUUCUGAUUUUCGGAUCUUGCGGUACGCAAAUGCGUUUUCCGAACCAUAUGGUACCCUGGUCGUCCUCACGAAAAUCUUUGGCCUUUCCGUUAAGCAAAUUCUCUUUUAUUUCCUUUAUUUCUGAGUCAUCUUUCUGUGCUUCUAUCUUAUCUAGCAUUGUGGGUUGCACUUCCAAAGUGGCUAAAUAACCUUCGGGUACUAUUUCCAGUCUGAGGUCUUUGAACUGUUCGCACAACUUUGGUGGUAAUUCUCCAGUUGUUAGUCCAUUUACAUAGCCCUUGCGGCUCAAUGCAUCGGCUACGACGUUAGCCUUGCAUGGAUGGUAUUGUAAAUUUAGGUCGUAAUCUUUUAUCAGUUCUAACCAUCUUCUCUGCCUCAGAUUCAACUCCUUCUGAGUGAAAAUGUACUUUAGACUCUUGUGGUCAGUAAACAGCUCACAAUGCUUUCCCAUCAGCUAGUGCCUUCAAGUCUUCAGGGCGUGCACUACCGAUGCUAACUCCAAGUCAUGAGUGGGAUAGUUGCCUUCGUGGCUCUUUAGUUGCCGCGAAGUGUACGCUACAACUCUUCCUCCUUGCAUUAACACUCCUCCGAAUCCUUGACGUGAGGCAUCACAGUAUACUUGAAAAUCCUCGUAGGUCAGGCAAAACAAGGAUGGGUGUAGACACUAGUCUUUUCUUCAAUUCCUGGAAACUUUCUUCGCAGUUCUCGUUCCAGGUAAACUUCUUUUCCUUCUUCAAGAGCUCAGUCAUGCGUUUCGCUAUCUUAGAGAAAUUCUCAAUGAAUCUACGAUAAUAUCCAGCAAGUCCAAGGAAACUACGGACUUCUCCGACGCUCUUUGGUGCCUCCCAGUCUGUAACUGCUGCAACCUUAGCUGGGUCAACGGCUACUCCGGCUCCUGACACUAUGUGUCCAAGAAAGCUGACUUCUGAUAACCAAAAUUCACACUUGCUGAAUUUGGCGUACAGCUGGUGCGCUCUCAACUUCUCCAAAAUCAUGCGCAGAUGCUGCUCAUGCUCUUCCUUGCUUUUGGAAUAGAUCAAGAUGUCAUCUAUGAAAACUACGACAAACUUGUCCAAGAAUUCCAUGAACACCUUGUUCAUCAUGUUCAUGAAGUAUGCAAGUGCAUUGGUCAAACCAAAAGGCAUCACAGUGUACUCAUACAGUCCAUACCUAGUGGUGAAUGCUGUCUUGGGUAUAUCCAUCUCCCGAAUUUUCAACUGGAAAUAUCCUGAUCGCAGAUCGAUCUUUGAGAACACUUGAGCUCCCUUCAACUGGUCGAAUAAAUCAUUGAUGAUGGGCAAGGGAUACUUAUUCUUUAUCGUCACCUCGUUUAGUGAACGAUAGUCAAUGCACAUCCGUUGGCUCUUGUCCUUCUUUUCUACAAACAGGACAGGUGCUCCCCAUGGUGAUGAACUGGGGCGGAUGAAACCUUUCGCUAACUGUUCAGCUAGCUGCUUCUUCAAUUCCUUCAAUUCAUCCACAGCCAUCUUAUAAGGUCUCUUGGCUAUGGGUCUACUUCCAGGCAUCAAUUCAAUGAGAAACUCGACAUCCCGGUCUGGUGGCAUACCUGGCAAUGUUGGGAUGGUGUAAUGGUGAGCGGUGCAAACCAAAUACAAGAAAUCGUUUCGCUUAUAAAUGCAAACAAUAUUGUCAAUCUUCUUGCUGGAAUGUUAUUCAUCAUGAUUGUUUUACUAAUUAUCUCAUGAGACUUUGUUAUAAAAGAUUAAUUGUGCAAGAAAGGAGAUGUAUAAAGAUGGAUGACAUAUACAUAUACCAUACACACACUUUGUCUAUUUUGUCAGUCUCUUUACAGCACAAACGACGCCGAGGACGGCUUUCCUUUCAAGAAAGGGAGGAUGAUAUGGACAUGCUAACCAUGGAUACGACCUUUGGUGCCCUCAAUUCUAUAAUAUUUGACAAGAUUUAUAAUCAGGUGAAUUCAAGUAGUAAUUGUUUUCAUUGUCAUAUUUAUGAAGAGGCGGAGCUACUACUAUCUUGUCUCGUUUUAUUACGUAGGCAUCUUGUCGAGCUUUUCAAGUCCAAGGUGAAGAUGAGAUACGAUGGGAUUUCAAGUGUACUUUGCAACAAAUCAAACAGCACAUGAUUCGGAGCUUGCUAGAGAAAGAUAUCACGAAUUAAAGUUGAAUCCGAUUCGGGUCCGAGCUGCCAGGAGACCCGAAUUUGUUUUAAUCACCCAGGCCGCAUCCGGAGUCCAAAUCAAGCAAACAAGUACUUGUUGGAAAGGUAAUUACAAGACCUUUCCAACGGAUCUGGCCCCAUCAAGAGAUUCCACUCGUGCUGACCGUGGCGGACAAAACAAGCUGACGGAUCUGUUUUUCUGUUUCCUAAAGAGUUGUAGUUUGUUAGGAAAGUUAGAGAUAGAGUUGGAUUUCGGACUCCUUAUUCAAGGUGGACGAAAAUAUCUAUCACUCCUCCUUUAUAUACCCCAUGAGCCCCCCUAAGGAGCCUUGGGUUUUGAUUAGAUAAAGUUUAGCCAUCUUUGCUACUUUCGUGUAAUCGCGUGUGUCGGUUAGACCACCUGUUUUACCGUCAUCAAGACUCCAACUUAUCGUCUCGUUGAGACAUUGGUUUGAUAUAGUAUAUUCGCAAUUUUAGAUUGCAUCCGCUAUUUAUCUUGUUCUUGCUUGUUCUUCGAUUGCUUGCAGGAACAAAGACCUUCGUGGUCAGGUUUAUCGUGCCCCCGCGUGAUCAAUAACCCUCUGGAGUUGGUGUAUCGAUUGCUAAGGCGCUGCCUGCUAGGCCGUAGUCGGAUCGUCAACGUCACCUCCUACCCAAAUCGAGAGUUAUCAAUCUCAUCGAAAGAUCGGGCCACCCGCACCCGUAUCACGUGGUAUCAGAGCUUAAGGUUGCUCGGUGAGAUUUUUCCAGUUUAUCCGUAGUUUAGAUCUGUUUUUACCUAUCGUCCAGAAAAAGCCAAACAAAAAUUAGAAUUAGUUAUCAUGUCCUAGAACCAAUCUGAGCCUUGCAAUUUUCACUUUAGUAUUUGCAUUGUUGAAUCUUUACUGCAUUCAUCGUGUCGAGUUGCUGGAUUAGAUUUGAUCGUUUUUUAGAUUUUUUCUACUAGAUCGAACUUGCUUUUGGUUUUCUUGUUUUUCGUGUGACGCAGGUUUCCUUCAUCAAUCUUCCGCCGCCAAACUUCCUGCCGCCAUAAUCUCCCGCCGCCACCAUAUCUUCCACCGAGUCCUUCUUCGAGUCCUACACCGAGUCCCUCCUUGAGUCUUACACCGAGUCUCUCGUCAAGUCCUACACUGUGUCCCUCUUCGAGUUCUACAUCGAGUCGGCAAGUUAUAGUUUUUAGCUGCGAGUUCGAGUCCGAGUCCAAUAAGGAGUGCUUUUGGAAAGUGUUUCAUCAUAGAUCGAAUUUUGUUUAGAGAUCAAGUUGUUUGGAAAGAUGAAAAAAAAGAAAGGAAAGAAAAAAAAAGGAAAGAAAGAAAGAAAAAAACGAAAAAAAAAGAGAAAGAGUUCGAGUCAGUUUCGGACCCGAGUCCGAGUAGAAUUUUAGUUUCGGGUGGGUUUGACCCGUGUUCAGUAAAACGGGCGUAUCUUUUGUGUACCAACUCGGAUUUGGACGUUUUUGGACUUUUUGGAAAGCUCACGACGAGGCACAUCAGGAAAUAUCCAGGACUUUGACCCUCAAAUUCGUUUUGUAAGGUGGACUUUCGGAGCUUCCAAGUUUUUGCAUCCGUUUUCCGGCGUCGCUGCAGCCCGGUGUUUCUCAGUUUUCUCCACCGUCCGACAUCCGUUUUGAGUGAUCUUGCCCUUGCUGGAAAGCUUGUGUCGAUACCCUUCUAACCCAUAUUUUUCUCAAUUUUUCUUUCUGCAGCCUUUGCUGUUCUUCGACAGACCGACGUACAAUUUUCCGGUCCUUCUUUUGCGUGAGUUUCUGGGGUUAAAAAAAAGAAAAAAGAAAAAAAGAAGAAGAAAAGAAUAAGAAGCCAAACAGAAGGCCACAAAAAGAAAAAAAUUCCCAGGGAUUUACUUGUUGUGCCAUCUUUCUAUCCUACCUUCUUCAGUAUCUAGGCUUAGAUUAUUUCUGUAAUUCGUUCUUAUCGACUCCAGCAGCUAGGACUAGCAUUAUUGAGCAUAUUUUCAACUUUGCAUUGCUGAUUUGAUUAUUUUCUAUUCCUUGCUACUCACAAAAGCCUCCAAGCUCCACAGACUCUACACCUAGGUUGGUUUGUUACCGAGGCAUCGAUACAUUUAAUCUCCAGAGGUGUUGGUUACGCCGCUGGCCAUCACCUUCCUGUUUUGCAUGGUAAGAACUUGUAAGAACUUGAUUUUUAGCUUGAGAGUUGAGCGACUUGUAGCCACAUCCUAGUAGUUGAUAGGAACAUAUUACUGUGAUUUGUUUCUUGUUUUCUACUAACCAUGACAGGACUUACACGAAGCAUGGCAACUAGACCGAUGCUAUCCCGUGACCGCGAUGAGUGCUUUUCACCACGGCCAUCCUCCACGUCUCUUGUUGAUAAUGCCACGGCAACGGUACAAAACAAUCCUUCUAAUACAAUUAAAUUGUGUGUACCUUUCUUUGAGGGGGAAAAUGAUGCUGAAACGUAUAUAGAUUGGGAGCUAGCUUUAACUGAACAAUUCACAUGCUUCCAUGUACUAGAUAGUCGUAAGGUCCAAAUUGCUAGUAGUAAAUUUCGUUUUGAUGCAUUAUCAUGGUGGUGUGAGAUAGUUAGAGAAAACAAAAUACCUCACACUUGGAUUGAUAUGAAGAAAAUCAUGAGAGAAAAAUAUGUUCCUCCAAGUUAUGCUUAUGAGUUGCGUUCCAAAUUAUGACGUUUGACACAAGAUGAUAAAACUGUUGAUGAUUACUACCAUGAGUUCCAAAUUUUAACCUUGCGAUCUGGUUUAGAUGAAACCGAACAAAGAAAAAUGGAUAGGUUUUAUUGUGGGCUUAACUUUGAUAUUUCUUACAUAAUUGAAUACGGAAAAUACGACUCUCUAUUGUUUUUGCUUAAUCUUGCUCAUGAAGCGGAGAGGAAAUUGGAGAGAAGGUGUACAAGAAACGUGUUGAGCCUACAAGGUAAUGAUAAAGAUGAUUGUGUUGCUGAACAAAAUAUGACAUGUGAUGAAAUAAAUGAGAUACCCGUUGAAUUUUCUGCACCAUGUGAAAUUGUUGAUUUACAUGCUGAUUUGAGUGCACCUACUGCUCAAAUUAAUUCUCCUAAUGAUUUGAGUGCACAUAUUAAUUUUGAUAUUGAUGAGAAUGAAUCAUGUGAGGAAAUAACUAAUGUUUUGGGAGAAACAUGUGAUGUAGAUAAAUUUGGUUUAGGUUGUGUCGACUUAUUUACACAUGGAGUGAUUGAGAACGAUCCACCUAUUAAUUCUUUGUGUUAUAUUGCACCUGAUAGUCCCAUGUAUUUGUCGCAUGCAAUGGAUAAACUGUGUGAGUUAACAAUUUCGAAAUCUUUUGCUGUUCACGGAUACACAAUUCAUUUAAUUGGACAACAUGAUGUGAACAAUAACAUUUUGGUGCAUGAGAUUUGCAUUACUUGUGAUAAUUUUUCUCUCUUGGGAGAAAAGAAAUUUUUGCACAUGCUUAAUCAUUUUGAUAGGACCUCCAAUAUAGGUGUUGAUUAUUUGCCAAAUAGUUAUUUACAUGCUUGUUUGAAUAUUAGUGCUUUGACUUGCUCUAAAUUUCAGCAUAUUGUAGUAACUAAUUUGGAUACUAUUCAUUAUUAUUCUCCAAUGUUGGGAUGGUGUAAUGGUGAGCGGUGCAAACCAAAUACAAGAAAUCGUUUCGCUUAUAAAUGCAAACAAUAUUGUCAAUCUUCUUGCUGGAAUGUUAUUCAUCAUGAUUGUUUUACUAAUUAUCUCAUGAGACUUUGUUAUAAAAGAUUAAUUGUGCAAGAAAGGAGAUGUAUAAAGAUGGAUGACAUAUACAUAUACCAUACACACACUUUGUCUAUUUUGUCAGUCUCUUUACAGCACAAACGACGCCGAGGACGGCUUUCCUUUCAAGAAAGGGAGGAUGAUAUGGACAUGCUAACCAUGGAUACGACCUUUGGUGCCCUCAAUUCUAUAAUAUUUGACAAGAUUUAUAAUCAGGUGAAUUCAAGUAGUAAUUGUUUUCAUUGUCAUAUUUAUGAAGAGGCGGAGCUACUACUAUCUUGUCUCGUUUUAUUACGUAGGCAUCUUGUCGAGCUUUUCAAGUCCAAGGUGAAGAUGAGAUACGAUGGGAUUUCAAGUGUACUUUGCAACAAAUCAAACAGCACAUGAUUCGGAGCUUGCUAGAGAAAGAUAUCACGAAUUAAAGUUGAAUCCGAUUCGGGUCCGAGCUGCCAGGAGACCCGAAUUUGUUUUAAUCACCCAGGCCGCAUCCGGAGUCCAAAUCAAGCAAACAAGUACUUGUUGGAAAGGUAAUUACAAGACCUUUCCAACGGAUCUGGCCCCAUCAAGAGAUUCCACUCGUGCUGACCGUGGCGGACAAAACAAGCUGACGGAUCUGUUUUUCUGUUUCCUAAAGAGUUGUAGUUUGUUAGGAAAGUUAGAGAUAGAGUUGGAUUUCGGACUCCUUAUUCAAGGUGGACGAAAAUAUCUCUCCCUCCUCCUUUAUAUACCCCAUGAGCCCCCCUAAGGAGCUUUGGGUUUUGAUUAGAUAAAGUUUAGCCAUCUUUGCUACUUUCGUGUAAUCGCGUGUGUCGGUUAGACCACCUGUUUUACCGUCGUCAAGACUCCAACUUAUCGUCUCGUUGAGACAUUGGUUUGAUAUAGUAUAUUCGCAAUUUUAGAUUGCAUCCGCUAUUUAUCUUGUUCUUGCUUGUUCUUCGAUUGCUUGCAGGAACAAAGACCUUCGUGGUCAGGUUGAUCGUGCCCCCGCGUGAUCAAUAACCCUCUGGAGUUGGUGUAUCGAUUGCUAAGGCGCUGCCUGCUAGGCCGUAGUUGGAUCGUCAACAUCACCUCCUACCCAAAUCGAGAGUUAUCAAUCUCAUCGAAAGAUCGGGCCACCCGCACCCGUAUCAGAAGGUGCCAAGUAUGAUACCUGGUUCCUCGGUGAUCUCUUCCACAUCCACGUGAUUCACGUGGCCCUUCUGGAUUGGAUUGGGCUUGUUCCCAGUGCCAUCCUGGUUGUCUGGGCAGUUGGUGGCAUAGUGUCCCAUCUUGUGACACUUGUAGCACUCCACCUUGCUCAUGUCCUUAUUGCCAUUGUGGUUCUGACCAUUGUUGUUCUGGCCGUUGCCGUUGUUCCUGCCAUUUCCGUUGCCAUUCAUGGGCCUUGGGCGAGCGAACUGGUGCUGUUGCUGAUGUUGGUGCUGCUGAUGGUGCCGGUUCACAUUGCCACCCUGAUGGUGGUGUCCUUGGCUUCCCUGGCGGUGGUGGUGACUAUUUCCUCCACUGCGGUGGCUGUUCUGGUUCCUGUUCCUGCUCAAGGAGAAACUGCCACUUCCAUCAUAGGAGGUGCGCUGCUUCUGGUGCGGGCCAGUGUGAGAGCCUCCUUGGUGAAAUCUCUUCUUGCGGUUUUCUAACUGAUUUAGCUUACUCUCCAGAAUGAUGGCCUUGUCAAUCAAUGACUGGUAGGUGGGGGUGUAAGCAAUAGCAAGUUGAACUGACAGCUCGUCGUUCAGACCGUCCAGAAACUUCUCCCUGCGCUUGGCAUCGGUAUUCACAUCAUCCGGUGCAUAGCGGGAUAGUUGGUUGAAAACCUCUAUAUAUUCUGACACGGAGCGGCUUCCCUGUCGCAGCUUGUGGAAUUUUUUCUUCUUCAGGCCGAGCACUCCCGCAGAGAUGUGGGCGGUGCGGAAGGCUUCCUGGAACAUGUCCCAGGUGACAUCCUCGAUGGGGGUGGUAAUCUGAAAAUUCUCCCACCAAAAUGCUGCGGGUCCUUCUAGCAGAUGAGCUGCAAACCGCACUUUCUCUUCCUCAGUGCAGUUGAUGGUGACCAAAUUCUUAUUGACUGAACGAAUCCAAUCGUCAGCCAUAAUAGGCUCAGUGGAGCUGGAAAAAGUGGGCGGGCGCAAACGUAGAAAUCUGGUCAGCAUAUCCACUUGGGGUGGGUGGUGUUGCUGGUUGUUGUGGUUCUGCUGGUUGUUGUUGUUGUUGUUGUUGGCCAACUGUUGGGUGAUCAUCUGGAAGAAUUGGGUCUGGGCGGCCAAUAACUGUUGCAUGGUGGCAGCAUUCCCUUCUACGUUGGCAUUGUUAGCCUCGGCGUUGUUGGCGGGGUUCCGGCGUCUCGGAAGCAUCUAUUUAGGGUAGUAUAGAUGAGGAAACAGAUAGAAUAGAGUUAAGGAUAACUAAACCCCCAAACAAGACAUAACUCAAACAUAUAUCAAUCAUACACUCAUCAAUCAUAAAAGGUUUUGAAAAAUCAUAGCAAAACACACUUGUUUAUGGUGGGACAUUGCCCAUAAAGAAAAGAGUACGGGAAAAAGCAAUCGACCUACAUUGCCAUACACAUAGAUUGUAUGGUCAAUGACUAACUCGCAAUGCUGAUAACGAUAAAAACUAAUAUAAGCUGGUAGGCAUCAAUAGAUCUAAGGGAGUGUGGCUGUCGGUGUGGUCCUGUUCGCCUUCAUCUUGGAGCGGGUGUUGGUAGCAGGGGUGUCCAUCUCGUGGACCUCCUGGGGCUCCUCCUCCUCAGUCAGUUCCUCCUCCUGAGGCUCCAUCUCCUGAUCCUGUGGUGGAGGUGGGAACUGGACAGGCGUCGGUGCCGCAGCUGGUGCUGCUGCGGCUGCGGCUGCGAUGAACGCCUGGAACUGCUCGCAAUAGUAGCGAGCCUGGUCCCUCUCAUACUGCAGCUGCUCGAUGGCGUCUCCCAUGUUGUGGACAGUGUUCUCCAACACGGCCUUGUCCUCGAGCCACUGGGUCUUCUCUCCCAGUAGAUUACCAACCUGCUCCUCGGUUAGGUCGGCCCUGAUCAUCUCGUGCUCGAGACAAGACUCCAAGUCCAAAGUGUUUAUCUCCAUGUUCUCGAAGUGGGUCGUCACUAGGGUUGCAUCCUCAUCGUUUGUCGUAGCCACUGCCGAGCAUGCAUGGUUCCGCCUUCCAAAGAGGAGGAAGGGGGAGUUCUCGGGGACCUCGUGCCGAUAGUCCCGGCACACCUGUGCGAAGGCUCACUGCAUGGCGAACUGAAGGCCCUGCUCGAAGGUGGGGUAGCGGCUGAUGAAGGUGAUAUCCGGCGUAGCUAGCGCGAUCUCACGCCCGCGGAUCUUCACCUCGAUCUCCCACCGUGGCUGCCAUCCCUCGGGUGCGGCGGUCUCGACUCGGCCUCUGAACCUAGGUGGUGGCAGGUCGAGGAAAGCACACAGUGCCGCCAAAGGGGCACUGAACAACUGGUCGUCGUCCGUGGAGGGGUAGUAGACGCGGGUGAACGGCGGUACAUUGCCGAACGGUGUUGGGCUUCCCAUCUAUAGAAAAAAAAUAAAGAAAGAGAUAAGGGAGUAUCAGUGACAUGAUCAAAUGGUCGAAUGUAAGUAAAAGUAAAACACAAGUGGUAGAGCGGGAAUCAAGUGAUAGACAUUAAUAUCAGGGUGGAAAUGUAAAUAUAAAAUUGGAUGCAUAAUAAUAUGUGAAUAACCUGGCAAGAUGAUUAUAGUGGUGUAUGGUGUAAAAAUCAAAUAUGCAUCUGUGGUAUAAUAUAAUAAACAUGCAUAUGUGGUAAUAAACAUAGUAUUCGGUGUAUAUGUGGAAUAAACAAUAAACAUGUCAUGCAUAUGUAAGAUAUAAAUGCAAAGAUUCAGAUGAAUAGGGAUAAGGAGUAAGAUACAUGUAUAUGUAUAUAGAUCAGAUGGGGAUAAGAAAUAAUCCUAAGGUUUGGUCUUUGGUCUUGUCUUAUCCUAAUCCAACCUAGGGUCACGUUCCUACAGGCAACACAUUGCUCUGUUACCAUCUGAAGCGAUCCUCCCCCUUACUAGGGUUCGAUCUCUGUGCUUACUGUGCUAGUCCCUGGAUCGACUCACUAGCACACACAGUUUCAUGAUGAAGUAUACAGAAACAAAGGUCAAAAGUACUUUAUUACAUCGCAUCAUCUAGAAUUUAAAUAGUACUUACAACCUCGCAUGACCUCUGGGACCAGCAUAAAACAAAUUCUGUUUCAACAUCAUAAAACAAUGUUUCAAAAUACUGCAGCGGAAAAGGGUAGAACAUAAGGGCCACACUACUCCAAGGUGAGGGCAUGUUGGAAUGUAAGUACAGGACCCACAACAAAACGACGAACCUCACUCAUCAUCGGAUCCACCUGCAUUGUUAAUUGCAGCCACUAUGUGGUCAAUACAUUUGAAUGUAUUGGCAAGUUCACCAGAGAUAUAACAGAUCCUAUCAAGUAUAUGUAAUAUUUGGCUAGGUGGGGUUUGGCUAUUUGCAUAAAGCAUCAUUAUUCAAUCCUAUCAUUUUUAAACAAAUAGUUUUGAAUUCUAUUGGACACGGGGUAGAAACACCCAUGCUCCUAUUAACCUAGGCACAUUGAGUAGAAACAUCAAUGCUCCUACCCAGUUCAAUCCAUUCAUUUUAUUAGGAAACUGGAAUGAGUGAGACCUUCCUUACAGCCCCAAUAUCUAGUUGCUCAUAAUUGUCCGUAACCGGGGACACGGCUAAGUACUUAGUUUGACACUCUCGAGAGAAAUCGACGUGUUAAUCCCUUGCUAUCCUCCAGGUGGAGUAGAAACGGCAUCGAUUACAGGAAUUUUCAGAACAUAUUCCCCCAAACCACCUGAGGGACGCGUUCCAACCUACACUGCUACAUACCGAUGUCACCUCGGAUCCAGGUUCAUAUUUCUUACAUCCAUCCUGGCAGAGCCCAUAAUACCAUGUGGUUGUACUGGAAGCUACUAAACAGGAAACUAGUCCAGUCUCUGGUUAUCCCGGGUGGCAUCCCACAUUGUGACGCAGGCGCUCCCCAAAUCGCACGGGGAGACGACCAUGGACGCUCCCGAAUCACACGGAGAGACGACUCAGCAGGCCCCAUAGAAAUGGACCUAACGUCACGACAUCCGAAAACUCAAAGCAGCCCACCCAGGACGGUUCCUGAUUAAUCCGAUCUAAUCUACACCGUUGGAGAUGGACGAACGGACGGGAUUGAUCAAGGAGCUCACCGGCGCUAGGGUUUCGGCCGAGGUCUGAGACGAACGCGGCGGCGACGGCGCAGGGCGGCGACACAGGCGGCUCGGGGAUGGGCGGGGUCAACACGGCGCGUCGGGGCGAAGGCGGGGGCGCGGGGUCAGGUGGUCAGGGCCUCGCCUAGAUCGAAGACGAGCGGGCGGCGCGAGCGGCGGACGACGGCGCGGCCUCGGGCGUUCGUCGACGGGGAGCUGGAGCGCACGAAAAGAAAAAAGGAGCGCGUCAUCUUGACCGCGAGGGAGAGAGAAGAAGAGAGAGAGGGACGGCUUCGAGGUUUCCUCACGGAGGUCGUCGGUGUGAUGCGAAGACGGCGACGGCGCGUGUGCGGCUCCGGCGAGCGAUUCCGGCGGCCUAGCGGCGUAAUCGAGGGGGAGGGCAGAGGGGAAAAGAGGAGGGGGCCGCGGGGUUUAAAUGGACGCGCUCGGGGCUACGAGAUAUGGACAGAGCGCGGAGUUUCCGGCGGUGAUGGCGCGUGGCGGCGAAGAAGGAAGGCAGCGCGCGUCGUGGGCGCCUUCCAAACAGGGAAGAAGCCCCUGACAGGUGGGUCCCACCUGUCAGCGGGUGCGGGCGCGGCGCGGGCGAGCGGCUGGGCCGGGGCGGUGGCGCGCGCGAGGGAUUGGGCCGGUUCGGCCCAAAGUGGCUGGGCCGGUCCGGUUUCCUCUUUUUUUUUUCUUUUAGCCUUUUAUUUUUCUGCUUUUCUCAUUUCUUUGAUAACUUUUGAUUUUGAACUCCAAAUUGGUCCAAAUAAAUUUCAGAAAAUUUGUAAAAUCAUGUUCUACCAUGAUACCACAUUUGGGAGUAGUUUCCCCUCAAAAUAAAAUGCAUAAAAAUACAUUUGCUCUAUAAAUGCCUUUAGGGCUAUAUAUCUAUUUAAAUAAAAUACUUUUUCAACUCCAAAUAAUUAUCCAAAAAUUAUGGGAUAGCUUAUAUAUGCAUUAAACCCCUUUCAUGCAUAAACCCUAUUGGUUUGAAAAUUCCAAAGCCCAAAUAGGUGUAAACAAAGUCUUUUAAAGCCUUUUGAGAUUCAAAUUUGAAUUCAAACAUGCGAUUGUGGCAUGAUGCUUAUGGAUGCAAUGCACAUGUCAAAGUUUGAAAUUUUUGGGAUGUUACAGACCUAACCCCCUUGAGAUGAAUCUCGUCCUCAAGAUUCGGUGUGGUUAGCAAAAAGGUGUGGGUUGUCUUCUUUAAGAUCAUCUUCGCGCUCCCAAGUGGCUUCUUCUUCUGUGGGAUGGUCCCACUGGACUUUGCAAAACUUGAUGGUCUUGGAUCGGGGUUGUCUCUCAGCUAUAUCCAAGAUCCUGAUCGGUUUCUCCUCAUAGGUGAGGUCACUCUGCAAUUGCACUUCCUCAAGGGGUAUCGUAUCCCUUAGUGGUGUAUCGGCCAUCUCAGGGUGACACUUCUUCAGUUGCGAUACAUGGAGGACAUUGUGGACAUUGGACAGUGUUUUCGGUAAAUCCAACUUGUAAGCCACUUCUCCUUGGCGUGACAAGAUCUUGAAAGGCCCAAUGAAAUGGGGUGCUAGCUUUCCCUUGAUUCCAAAUCUUUUAACUCCGUGUAUCGGUGAAACUCUGAGAUAUAUGCUCUAUCCUCAGCCUCGUAGGUCACCUCCCUACGUCUGGUAUCGGCGUAGCUCUUUUGUCUUGACUAGGCUACCUUCAGCCGGUCUCGGAUGAGUCUAACCUUUUCUUCGGCAUCCUUUAUCAGGCCCGGGCCGAAUAGGCUACGGUCUCCUACACCAUCCCAUAACAAUGGUGUUCUGCACUUUCUUCCAUACAAAGCUUCAAACGGUGACAUUCCUAUGCUGGCUUGGAAGCUAUUGUUGUAAGAAAAUUCUGCAUACGGCAGAUUGUCAUCCCAACUGGAUCCAUAAUCUAGAGCACAGGCUCUCAACAUAUCUUCAAGGAUCUGAUUUACUCUCUCGGUCUGUCCAUCCGUCUGCGGAUGAAAAGCUGUGCUGAAUUCUAGUCUCGUUCCUAGAGAGUCAUGUAGUUGUCCCCAAAUCUUGAGGUAUGGGUACCUCUGUCUGAAACUAUUUCCUUGGGUACUCCGUGUAAACACACUAUUCUGGAUAUGUACUGUUUCGCUAACUGUGCGCUGGUGUAAGUAGUCUUUACUGGUAUGAAGUGGCAACCUUGGUCAAACGAUCAAUCACUACCCAAAUAGAAUCAUAUCCUGAUCUGGUCCUUGGUAAACCGGUGAUAAAGUCCAUGCCAACUUUAUCCCAUUUCCAGUCCGGUAUAGGCAAUGGUCUCAGCAAUCCUGCUGGCUUCUGGUCCUCUGCCUUAACCCUGCUGCACACAUCACACAAGGCAAUGAACUCUGCGAUGUCACGCUUCAAUCCGGACCACCAAAAUGUUUCCUUGAGGUCCAUGUACAUCUUUGUGUUUCCAGGGUGGAUUGAGUACGGUGAGUCGUGGGCCUCUUGUAAAAUCAGCUUUCUGAUUUUCGGAUCCUGUGGUACACAUAUGCGUUUUCCGUGAUUCGUCGGUACCGGUUCGGGAAUUAAACUUGUCAUGGCCAUUGGAUCUCACUUAAAAGAAAUGGAAGCCCGAGAUCGGAAAAUACCCCUUCGUUUUAAAGGGAUCUAAUCUCGGCCGUUGGUCAUGAUCCAACGGUCCAAGGUGGCCAGCUCACCUUCGGAGGCUUCUAGUGCUCCGGCGACAACUCCGGCUCGGCGUGGCUCAGGCGGUGGCGCGCAGGGAUGCUCUGCUGGUCUUCGGGCUCAGGGAAAUCGUCGGCGAGGGGCAGCGCGGUGUGACGGAGAGGAUGAUGUGGCUAGUUUGUCCCGAGGACGACGAGGGCGGCGUCUAGCUCGAUGAGGAACGGUGGCGGCAUGGGCGGAGCUCCGGUGAACGGUGUCGGGCGGCUUCGGUGCACCAAACACAAAAUGGUCCGCGUCAAAACGUGCGCAAAGGAGAGAGGAGGAAGAAAUUGCCGGGAGUUUGGACCAAGUCUCACCGGUGUGACGACGGCGAGUGACAGAACGGCCGGCGGCGUGGCAACUCCGGCGAGGAAUUCCGCAGCGUGGGCGCGGAAUUGGGAGGAGUGGGCAGGGGGGAAAUGGAGAGGGGAGGCAAGGGCUCGAAGUGACGCGCUCGGAAUCGUCUUUUAUAGGUCGAGGAGGGAGAUCGGGCAUGGAUGCCAACGGGUGGCAUUUACAGGCGUAGGCCAUUGAUGAGGAUAGAAGGCCUUGAAUAGGGUGAUUAAUGGGGGGAAUUAAGGAGAGGGCAACCUUGGGGUUCGAUUCAGUGUACCUGGACGGGAUUCGGGACAAGGAAGCAUGGGGAUUGGAUUAGGGCAGCCAUGGUGUGCGUGUGUUCUUUCAGUACGUGGAAGUGCUGGAGGAAGAAGACGACUUCGUGCAGGCCUUGGGCUGGGGUGCUCGGUCAGGCGAUGGGCCAGGGAAAGGGAGGACCAGGGAGAAAGAGGAAAAAAAAAAGAGAAAGGAGGGGAAUGGGCCGCUCUGCUGGGCUGCUCGGGUGCGCGAGUGGGCUGGGCCGGUCGGUCGCGGGCGCGCACGGGGUGACCGGACCAGGUCGGCCGGGCCGGUCCGUUUUUCUUUUUUUUUGUUCUUUUCUUUUUCUCCUUUUCUUUUUUCUAUUUUUCCUUUAUACCUUUUGAUUUUGAACUCCAAGUGAACUCAAAUAAAUUCUAGAAAAAUCGUAGAGUCAUAUCUUUUUAUGAUCCAACUCUUGGGACUAAAUUCCCUUCAAAAUAAAAUAGUUGAAAAUACUUUUGCCUAUAUAAUUGCCUCUAUGGCCAUAUUACUAAUAACAUAAAAUAGAUUUUUAACUCCAAAUUGAACGACAAAUAUAUGGGGUAGCUUAUUAAUGCAAUAAACCCCUUUCUACUGCCUCAACCCUAUGGGUUUGAAAAAUCCAAAAAGAUGUAAAGUAGGAUUAAAGGCAAAUAACUUAAUAAAAAGGUUUUAAAUUUUAAAUCUUUGGUUUAAAGGUGUUCAAUGUGCAUAAAUGGAUGAUAUUCAUGAGUGCAAAUGCAUGAUGCAAGGUUUGGAAAAAUUGGGACGUCACGUUGUCCCACUCUCAACGAUGGAAUAAAUGUUUGAAUAACAUUUGCACAUGAGGAUGUCACGUUAUCCUCUUCUCGAAUAUUUGAUAACAUGUUCUCGAAAACAAAAUGAACAUGACAAAAUAAAAAUCGAGAAAACAUAGGUGAAUCAUUAAAUAUUUUUCCAACCUUAUAAUCAGGAAAGACAUGUUAUUCCCUCUCUUUAACAUUUAAAUAAAUGUUGGAAAGCAUUUCUAAUCGAUUCAAAUAUUCCAACGAUGCUCUCAAUUGGUCAUGGCAUCCAAAUUGGAAUCUUAGCGUUUUAUUAAAUCCUUUAAAAAGAAAAUAGGUUUUAUUAAGAUAAAAAGAAUUAUCCGGAUAAAAUCAUAAUGUGCAAAUGGUUCCAAAUAGAAUACUUUGAACUUACAUAAAUGUCCCAACCAUGUUGUAUAAUUUGGAUAGUCAUAUUAAUCCACUCUUUUGUUGAAUAUUCAAACUUCGUGUGGAAAAAUUUAAGUAAGUCCAAAAAAUUUCAAAUCCUUCAGAAAUUCACAACCAAAAUAUCUCCAAAGACAAUAUUUUAUUUAAAAAAAUUAUUUUAUUUAACAUUCCAAAAUGGGAAAAUUUUGGGAUGUUACACGACGGUACCGGGGUGCCUCCAGGGUGCUGGAGCUUUGGGGGGUUGCAGGUGGGGCUGACGGAACCGUGAAGACAAGACGAGACAGCGGACGCAGUGCAUUUAAUGCACCGACAGAAGUCACAUCGGCAGGGCUAGUCUUGCUGAACAAGUCUAGAGCGGCUACCCUAGGAUAAAUUUUAUUUACAAUGCACCGUGGCCUGGGCGCUGCAUGAAGCCCAGCGUGGAUCUACAGUAGAGUAAGUUUGGUGGCAAUAACACGCGUGUAGUUAACGUGUCACGCUGCAUGCAUCGGCACCUGUGGUAUGCCCUUGUCUAUAAAAAGAGGACCAAUGCCAUCGGUCAAAGGGUUCAAACCCUAGUUGGUAACAACUAGUUUUGAAUCCAUUCAUAGCAGAAUCCCUUAGAAGAACAAGUAGCCCACCCGGGAACCCCCGGGCAAUCUGCAAGAACACACAAAUUCGUGAAUACAACUAAAGGCAGGUUGUAGGGUGUUACACCUCCGGGUGGCCCGAACCUGGGUAAAUCUGAUUAUCUACACUUCAUGUCUUACGUCAUGACGGCGAUCGCCGGAGUGCUCACCUCGCCCCUCACCGAACAACAAGGGGGUGUCCAGCAUCCCCGGUGCUAGAGACCCGUGCUCCGACAAUAAUCUAGAGCGCAAGCUCUCAACAUAUCCUUAAGUAUCUGAUUUACUCUUUCGGUCUGUCCAUCCGUCUGCGGAUGAAAUGUUGUGCUGAACUCUAGCCUCGUGCCUAGUGACUCAUGUAAUUGUCCCCAAAAUCUUGAGGUAAAUUGGGUACCUAUGUCUAAAACUAUCUCCUUGGGUACUCCGUGCAAGCACACAAUUUUUGACAUCUAGCGUUUUGCUAAUUGAGCACUGGUAUAGGUGGUCUUCACCGCUAUGAAAUGGGCAACCUUGGUCAAACGGUCAACCACUACCCAUAUAGAGUCAUAUCCUGAUCUAGUCCUUGGUAAUCCUGUGAUAAAUCCAUGCUUACUUUAUCCCAUUUCCAGUCUGGCACCGGCAACGGUUGUAGCAGUCCUGCUGGAUUCUGGUGUUCAGCUUUGACGUUGUUACAUACAUCGCACAAAGCGAUAUACUCAGUGAUGUCACGCUUUAAUCCAGACCACCAAAAUGUUUUCCUUCAAAUCCAUGUACAUCUUUGUGUUUCCCGGAUGAAUCGAGUAGGGCUAAUCAUGGGCUUCUUGAAAUAUCAACUUUCUGAUCUUAGGAUCCUGUGGCACGCAAAUGCGCUUCUCAAACCAUAUGGUACCUUGGUCAUCCUCAUGAAAACCUUUUGCUCUGUUUUCAGUCAUCUUGAUCUUUAUCUAUUCGAUUUCUGCAUAAGUUUUCUGAGCUUCUCUGAUUCUGUCCAACAACUUGGGUUGUACCUCCAUGUUGGCAAGAUAACCUUCUUGUACAAUCUCCAAUCUGAGCUCUUUCAACUGUUCGCACAAAUCAGGUGGUAGUUCUCGAGCUAUGAGUCCAUUCACAUAGCCCUUGCGGCUUAAUGCAACAUCCCAAUUUUCAAAACCCUUCAUAUGCAUUGCAUAUCAUGAGCAUCAUGUCACCCUUGCAUUUAAUCACAUUUGAUAACCCUAAAAUUUACCCUGAGAAUCCCUGUUCAAAAGUGCUUUUAUUUGAUUUUGGGCUUUGAUCUUACUUUCAAGCAUUUGUGUUUUAACCCAUGAGGGUAUUGGUAUAAAAAGGGAUUUAAUGCAUAUAUAAAGCUAUCCCAUAAGUUUGCUUUUGAAAUUAUUUUGAAAAUUAUUUUAUUUUGAUAGCCUAAGGGCCCUAAAAGCCAUUUUAUAAGCAAAUGUACUUUUAAGUAUUUUAUUUUGAGAAAAUUCUUGUUCCAGAAGUUAGAUCAUAUGAAAAUAUGAUUUUACAAAUUUUGUUGCAAUUUAUUGGGAGUGAUUUGGAGCUUUGAAUCAAUUUUGAAGUUUAAAAAACAGAAAAUAGAAAAAAAAUGAAAAGAAAAACCGAACCGGCCGAACCAGACCGAACUGGACCGCCCGACCGGCCUGCCCCGCGCGCUCGGUCACUGACAGUGGGCCCCACGCCGUCUCCUACCUCCAACUGCCGUCCGGAGUCCACGCCGAGCACGUCCCCGCGAACCGACAGCGCACCAGCUCCGAUUUCUCCGCAUUUGGGCCACCUCUUCCAAAUCCCCGCGCGUCAUCUCGAGCCCCGUGCCCGACCGUCGGCAGCCGCCCGUCGCUCGUCCCCGAGCCCCGAGCCGCCGCCAUCCAUCCGUCUCCGCCAGAGCCGAGCCGCACCGCCCGUCCGCCGCCUUCGCCUCCGCCCGAGCCCCGACCGCGCCGCCACCCGCUGCCGCUGCCGCCGUCUUCUCCGAGUCCGGCCCCCCACGCCGCCAGGGUAAACCCUAGCCCAAACCGGACCAAUCCUGGGACGCCACGUGGCGAAUCUUUUUAAUUUAAUUUUCGUCCAAAAUUAAAACUGCACAUUUGCAGAAAAGCACCUGUAACUUUAAAGCAUCGUAACUUUUAAACCGCUUGUCCAAAAAUUAUGAUCCACACCUUUCUGGAAUCCUCACAACUUGUAGAAUUUUUUGGCACUGUCCAAUUUCAAUUUUGAACAACUUUGUCAGAAGCAAAUUACAGAAUGAUUGAAUAUGGUUUAAAUUUUGAAUGAAUUAUUUCAAAGUGGUUUUGAGCAUGUUAGCUUGCUGUAAAAUUAUUUAAACUUGUUUUUGUCCAUUAGGACCAGAAGAGAAAAUUAUUUUGUGAAUGACAUGACACUACGAGUUUAAAUAUUGCUCUAUGUUUGCAAAAACAAUAUAAUCUUUAAAUUUAAAUCCUAUCCUUGUUUCAUGCAUAUUAAUUACCUCUUUGAUGUUGUAUACUCUGUCCAAAUCAUUUGAAAAACUUUUCAAAACAGAAACAAAACUUGUUACAUUUAAAGGUAACCUAUGUGUGCAUCAUCAUGGCAUAUGCAUCAUAGCAUGAUUUUGUAUUGAAUGUUGUGUUUAUUGUGUGUAUGCUUUCUUUUAUUUUAGAUUGUGUGGAUUGUGAACCUUGUUGUUGCGAAGAGUGCGAGAACUACCACAACCUUGGACAAGGCAAGUUCACUUUGAUCAUUUCCCAAUUAUUGUACUAUGCACUAGUUAUUUUAUUAGAUGCAUCAGGAAUAUUACUCGUACCUCUAUGCUAGCUAUAAAUCUCAGGUAGUAUAGUUUUACCCUUGCCAUUACCAUGCUACCAAAAUUGCCAUCGAUUGUAGUUGAAUGCUAGGCUAUGGUAGUAUCGCAGGGGAAAUAACUACAUUAUGAUAUUGUUAUGCCUUUGGCGAUAUGAAAUGUUUUGUUAGAUUAAGGCAAAACAAUUAAUUCAAUGAACCGUCCUGGGUGGGCUGCUUUGAGCAUUUUGAGGAUUAGCGGCGUCAGGUCCAUUUCUAUGGGUCCCUCUGAGUCGAGUUCCCGUGGAUUCGGGAAUGGAUCGUCCAUGGACGUCUCUCCCGUGGAUUCGGGGAGCGCCUACGUUGCAAAUGUGGAAUGCCAACUGGGGUAACCGAGACUGGACUAGUUUCCUAUUUAGUAGCUUCCAAUACAACCACAAUGCUAUAUGGGCUCUGGCGAGACAAGAGUAUGUUCUAUGAACCUAGACCCGAGGAAUUGUACUGAGGUAGCCGUGUAGGGGGAGCGUGAUUCUCUCGUGGUUUAGGGAAUUACCUCUGAAAAUCUCGUAAUCGAUGCCGUUGCUACUCUACCCUGAGGACAGCAAGGGAUUAACCCGUCGGUUUCUUGUGGAGAAUGUGUACAAACUCUCGAGAGCAUCAAAACUAAGUACUUAGCCCGUGUCCCCGGCAAUGGACAAUUUGAUCAACUAGAUGUGGAGCUGUAAGGAAAGUCUCACUCAUUCUAAUUUCUUAAUAAAAUGAAUGGUUUGAAUUUGGGUUUAGAGCAUUGAUGUGUCUACUCAAUGUCCUUAGUUUAAUAGGAGCAUGGGUGGGUCUACCCCAUGUCCAAUAGUGAUAAAAUCUAUUUGUUUAAAAGAUAGGAUUAAAUAACUAAGCUUUUAUGCAAAUAGUCUUGAACCCCACCUUGCCACAUUAUGCAUAUACUUGGUAGGUUCUGAUAUAAUUCCUGGUGAAUCUUGCAAAUACAUUCAAUGUAUUGACCCUACUGGCUGCAUUGUUUAAUGAUGCAGGAAGCUCCGACGAAGAGUAAGAUGUGCGUUCUGCUUGUUUGGGUUACGGGCCUACGUUCCAACACGCUCUCACCGUGGUGUUGAUGUGCCCUUGUAUCUUUCGCUUUCCGUUGCUAAACAGUUGUUUUAUUUCCAGCUAACCCGUGGGGUUAUGCGUGUUGUAAUUACUUUAAAAUUCUGGAUGAUACGUUGUAAUAUUGAGACCUUUGUUCUAUGAUAUUACAUCUUGAAACUGUGUGUGCUAGUGAGUCGAUCCAGGGACUCGCACUAAAGCACAGAGAUCGAACCCGUGUACGGGGGCGGUCGCUUCAGAUGGUAUCAGAGUAUUGUGUUGCCUGUAGGAACGUGACCCUAGUGUUGGAUAAGACCUAAGGACUUAUUUGCAAAACUAGAUAUCUAUGAAACCUCUCAUAUUCUCAACUCAUCUACUCUUCCAUGAUCUUAUCUCCAUUUUGAAAGUUUUGAAACAUUCUUCUCCUUUUCAAAAGUAUUAGAGUUACCGUAGAGGAUGAAGAAGGAGAAGUUGAGAAUCGAGAUUGCGACAAGGGUUCGUGAAGAUUUCAACUAAUGAAGUUAUGAAGAACUACAAGAUUUGAAGGUGACCUUGAUAGGAUAAUAACCCAUUGGUACGUACUUACUCAUGGUAGACGUAAUAUGUGAGCUGUCACUUUUGGUUUUAUUGAUGGCCAGAAAUAAUAGUAGUAAAUUAUUUUAGAUAACAAAACUUUGUCCGUUUCCUUUUUGAACUUCUUUCUUGGGCUUGGAUGCCUGAACCAAAUUAUUUGCUUGUUGGAUCUUACUUGUUUGGUGAUUGCUAUGCCUUGCUUGCUUGUUGUUGGGUUAAGGUUCUUUUAGACCCAUCUAUCUAUUCUUCAUCUAUGCUGUCCCAAAACAGAUGCUGCCGAGAUGCGAUACUCGCCGCGAUGCCGACAACACUCAGGAGGGAUAGGACAACAACGCUGCCACCAUACAGCAACUGUUGACGGCACAGGCUCAGAUUCAGCAAGCCUUAACCCAGCAGAUGAAUAACAACCCAAACAACAACAACAACAACCAAAACAACCAGCACCCCAACCCACCACCUCAAGUGAAUAUGUUCACCAGAUUUCUGAGGUUGCGUCCACCUACUUUCACUAACUCCUCGGAACCAAUUGUGGCCGAUGAUUGGCAAAUGCUUAGUGACUGUGGGCUGCACUGAAGCUGACAAGGUGAGGUUUGCUGCUCACCUACUUGAAGGACCUGCCGCAGCUUGGUGGGAGACCUAUCAGAUUACCACUCCCAUGGAAGAAGUAACAUGGGAAAUGUUACAAGAUGCAUUCCGCACCGCCCACAUCUUUGCGGGCGUGCUGAGCUUGAAGAAGAGAGAAUUCCACAAACUGAGGCAAGGGAACAGGACCGUGUCAGAAUAUAUCGAGGCUUUCAAAGAGUUGUCUCGCUAUGCCUCGGAGGAUGUCAACACUGAUGCAAAACGCCGGGAAAGGUUUUUGGAUGGCUUGAAUGACGAACUCGCCGUUCAGCUGGCAGUUGUUUACAUCCCUACCUUCCAGUCCCUCAUGGACAAAGCCAUCAUUCUUGAAAACAAGCAGAAUCAGAUGGAAAACCGGAGGAAGAGGCCUCACCAUGGCAACAACCACGCUGGUCCACACCAGAAGCCGCGCACCUCGUACGAGGGUAGUGGCAGCUCCUCGAUGGUUAAGCAUAGUGGAAAUCAUCAGCAUCACCAUGGAGGGAGUGGACACCGUCACCGCCAUGGAGGUCAAGGACACCACCACCACCAGGGAGGUAAUGGCAGCCGGAACCACCAACACCAGCAUCCAAGGAUCAAUAACAACAAGGGCAGUGGCCAUAACAAUACAGGCAACCCAGGGCAGAACCGUACCACUGGCAGAGAUCUGAGCCAAGUGCAAUGCUUUAAGUGCCACAAGAUGGGGCACUACUCCAAUGAUGGUCCUGAGAAGUUCAAUGAGGCGGGAGCAAAGCCUAACCCGUUCCAGAAGGGCAAUGUGAACCACGUCAACGUGGAGGAAAUCACAGAGGAGCAAGGUAUCGUAAUCGGCACCUUCCGCCUAAAUUCUUUUGAAGCACUGGUACUAUUUGAUACCGGUGCAUCGCAUUCUUUCUUCUCAAGGAAUUUUGUGCAUAAGAAUGGGUUACCCACUAGUACCUUAGUGAACCCUAUGAAGGUGAAAUCACCUGGGGGAGAGAUGAUAACGGCUUAUGAAUGCCGAAUGCUGACACUAGAAAUUGGAGAACACAACUUCCCCACAGACCUGAUAGUGUUAGGAUCAAAAGGCUUCCAGUACAACCACAAUGCUAUAUGGGCUCUGGCGAGACAAGAGUAUGUUGUAUGAACCUAGACCCGAGGAAUUGUACUGAGGUAGCCGUGUAGGGGGAGCAUGAUUCUCUCGUGGUUUAGGAAAUUACCUCUGAAAAUCUCGUAAUCGAUGCCGUUGCUACUCUACCCUGAGGACAGCAAGGGAUUAACCCGUCGGUUUCUUGUGGAGAAUGUGUACAAACUCUCGAGAGCAUCAAAACUAAGUACUUAGCCCGUGUUCCCGGCAAUGGACAAUUUGAUCAACUAGAUGUGGAGCUGUAAGGAAAGUCUCACUCAUUCUAAUUUCUUAAUAAAAUGAAUGGUUUGAAUUUGGGUUUAGAGCAUUGAUGUGUCUACUCAAUGUCCUUAGUUUAAUAGGAGCAUGGGUGGGUCUACCCCAUGUCCAAUAGUGAUAAAAUCUAUUUGUUUAAAAGAUAGGAUUAAAUAACUAAGCUUUUAUGCAAAUAGUCUUGAACCCCACCUUGCCACAUUAUGCACAUACUUGGUAGGUUCUGAUAUAAUUCCUGGUGAAUCUUGCAAAUACAUUCAAUGUAUUGACCCUACUGGCUGCAUUGUUUAAUGAUGCAGGAAGCUCCGACGAAGAGUAAGAUGUGCGUUCUGCUUGUUUGGGUUACGGGCCUACGUUCCAACACGCUCUCACCGUGGUGUUGAUGUGCCCUUGUAUCUUUCGCUUUCCGUUGCUAAACAGUUGUUUUAUUUCCAGCUAACCCGUGGGGUUAUGCGUGUUGUAAUUACUUUAAAAUUCUGGAUGAUACGUUGUAAUAUUGAGACCUUUGUUCUAUGAUAUUACAUCUUGAAACUGUGUGUGCUAGUGAGUCGAUCCAGGGACUCGCACUAAAGCACAGAGAUCGAACCCGUGUACGGGGGCGGUCGCUUCACUUAAUGCAUCGGCUACCACAUUGGCCUUGCCCGAAUGUUAUUGCAAAUUCAGAUUAUAAUCGUUAAUCAGCUCCAACCAUCUUCUCUGUCUGAGGUUCAACUCCUUCUGGGUGAAUAUGUAUUUCAGGCUCUUGUGAUCCAUAAACAAUUCACAAUGUUUCCCCAUCAGGUAGUGUCUCCAAGUCUUCAAGGCGUGCACUACCGAUGCUAAUUCCAAGUCAUGAGUGGGGUAGUUCGCCUCGUGGUUCUUUAGUUGUCGCGAAGCAUGCGCUACAACUCUUCCUCCUUGCAUCAAAACUCCUCCCAAUCCUUGACGCGAAGCGUCACAGUAAACUUGGAAAUCUUUCUACAGAUUGGGUAAAACAAGGAUGGGUGCGGACACUAGUCUUUUCUUCAACUCUUGAAAACUUUCUUCGCAUUUGUUAGUCCACACAAAUUUAUUUUCCUUCUUCAGAAGUUCUGUCAUGGGUCUUUCUAUCUUGGAAAAAUUCUCAAUGAAUCUCCUGUAGUAACCAGCAUGUCCUAGAAAGCUGCAUACAUCACCGACGUUGUUAGGUGCUUCCCAAUUUGUCACUGCUGCUACCUUAGCUGGGUCGACAGCAACUCCUGCUCCAGACACGAUGUGUCCUAGGAAACUAACUUCCGAUAACAAAAAUUCACACUUACUGAAUUUGGCGUACAACUUGCGUUCUCUAAGUUUGUCCAAAAUCAAGCAUAGAUGUUGCUCAUGUUCUUCUUUGCUCUUGGAAUAAAUCAGGAUGUCGUCGAUGAACACUAUGAAAAACUUGUCCAAAUAUUCCAUGAAUACCUUGUUCAUGAAGUAUGAUGGUGCAUUGGUCAAUCCAAAUGGCAUCAUUGUAUACUCAUACAAGCCAUACCUGGUGGUGAAGGAUGUUUUGGGUAUAUCUGCUUCUUGGAUCUUCAACUAAAAAUAUCCUGAUCGCAGAUCGAUCUUUGAGAACACAAAUGCUCCUUUCAACUGAUAAAAAAGAUCAUGAUUAUGGGUAAGGGGCACUUGUUCUUUAUCGUUAUUUCAUUCAGUGAGCGAUAAUAAAUGUACAUCCAUUGACUCUUGUUCUUCUCCACAAAUAAAAUGGGUGCUCCCAAUGGUGAUGAACUGGGGCGAAUGAAACCUUUGGACAAUUGCUCGGCCAGCUGUUUCUUCAAUUCCUUUAAUUCAUCCACGGCCAUCUUACACGGUCUCUUGGCUAUGGGUCCAAUUCCUGGCAUUAACUCAAUAAGAAAUUUCACAUCUCGAUCCGGUGGCAUUCCCGGCAACUCCUCAGGAAAGAUAUUUGGAUAUUCCUGCACUAUCGGCACAUCCUCCAUCCUAAACUCCUUAAGAGAAUUCACCUUAGAUCUCUUAAGUUCCAUAGUAGACUUGAAACGGAUUCACUUCUUCUCAGGGGUUGUGAGUGUAAUUGUUCUCUUGGCACAGUCUACCAAUCCUUCAUAUAAGGUCAUCCAGUCCAUUCCCAGAAUUAUGUCUAGCCCUCGGGAAUCUAACACAACCACGUCAGAGGUAAAAGUGUGUUUCCCAAUCUCUAAGGCUAACUGGCGGCAUCCUUGGGUCGCUACCAUUUGUCCUCCAAGUGAACUUACUCUCAUAGGAUUCCUUAGGGUGUUCGUAGGUAUCUUGUUCCCAUUCACAAACAUUCUUGAUAUGAAUAAAUGUGAUGUGCCCGUGUCAAAGAGUACGAGUGCUUGGAAGGAAUCUACGCGGAAAGUACCAAUCACAAUGCCCGGCUCCGUGAUUUCCUCUACACUGACAUGGUUUACGUGACCCUCCUGGAAUGUGGUGGGCUUGACUCCAUUCCCUUCAAAUCUCUCCGGGCAAUCAUUCGAGUAGUGCCCCAUCCUGUGGCACUUAUUCCACUUGACUCAGGUCAAUCUUGGUGAAGAUGUCAUUCUUAUUCUGUUCGUUGUUGCUUCCACUGCCCUGACCAAUGCUGCCUCAUUUGCCAUGGUCUCUACCCUCGUGCUGGUGUCGAUGCCUAUGACCAUUGCCUCCCUGAUGGUUGUUUCCAUUCUUAUGAUGGUGAUGGUGGUGACAAUUCCUUACACGGUUGUCGUGGUUCUCGUGCUUCGCAUACCUUGAGAUACCACUACCUUCACGAGAGAUGUGCGGCCUCUUGUGUGGGCACAUGUGGGUUUUCCAAUGGUUGAGCCUUCUCUUGCGGUUCUCCAUCUGGUUCUGCUUGUCCUCCAAAAUGAUGACCUUGUCUAGCAGAGACUGAUAGGUGGGGUUGUAAGCAACUGCUAGCUGAAUGGAAAGCUCGUCGUUCAGUCCAUCCAAAAACUUCUCACGACGCUUGGCAUCGGUAUUGACAUCAUCGGGCGCAUAGCGGGAUAGCCUAUUGAAUACCUCAAUAUAUUCCGACUGUCGCACCAGUGGCACCCGGGGUACCACCGCUGCGCGACGCGUGAGCCCCGUCCCCGAGUUCCCGGGAAGGUUCCAUCCAGGGCAGCGGCUACGAGCAGCCCGGCAAGUUACCAGCCCGGAAGGGCUAGCGGGGCUUCGAGAAAUAUUCCCGCUUGGGCACCUCUCGGAAAGCCGCUUCCCGGGUGCGUUGGGCCCGGGCGCUUCCCGGGGAGCGACUUGCCGGGACAGGGGGUUCCCGGGCGCAUGCCCCCGCCUCAAGGGUGGGGCCCAGUGGACAGAUCAACAGCGCCACGCGGGCGCGUGGCGGGCGUGGGGUGCGUGGCCCCACCAGGGCAAGAAGUAAGGUGCACGUCUCAUUAAAUGAGCCGACGGGAGGGGCGUUACCCGUCCAAGUCAAGUGAACAGUGGCUGUCCAAUCCUACUCUAGGGUUUUAGACCCCUAGCGGCGGAGGUGGCAUCCAUGAGCGCCACCAGCUCACCGAGGGAGAGCUGUAUACCUGUCCGCUCGACAUUUGUAGCCCAUGCACCGUCGCACCUGUGGCAUCCCCUUGAGUAUAAAAGGAGGACCCCCGCCAGCGGUAAAAGGGUUCAAGUUCUGCUCGGUUGGGGUUCCGGUGGGUUCCAGUUCCGAUCAAAGGCUCCACGUUCGCAAGUUUGGUCAGCUCUGGGUAGCAGGUAGCGUACGCAAGGGAAGAGAGAGAGAGAGCCCGGGGACCUUCCCCCAGCAAGAUGUAAACACUUGAUCUGCAAUCAAUACCAGCUCAGACAAGCAGGACGUAGGGUUUUACACCUCCGGGUGGCCCGAACCUAGGUAAAAACAUGCUUGCAUGUGUUCUUUGAUUAGCGCGCACUUCUAGUACAUCAUUUCGCCGGCCCUGCAGGGCCCAUCGGCCGAGCCGGCGAUCGCCGGGGCCAACCCCGACGCCCCUGCCGAACCUAAAAAGGGGCCGUGACCGCACGCCCCCGGUGUCGGAGCACCGUGCGACAACACCGACGCAGUGCGGGUUCCUUGCUUCAGUUUGUGGAACUCCUUCUUCUUCAGGCUUAGCACACCGCAGAGAUAUGGGCGGUGUGGAAAGCAUCCUGGAACAUCUCCCAUGUGACUCCCUCGAUCGGGUUGGUGAUCAGGUAGUUCUCCAACCAUACUGCUGCUGGUCCCUCCAACAAGUGUGCUGCAAACCUCACUUUCUUAGCAUCUAUGCAGCCCACAGUCACUAAGUUCUUGUUCACUGAACGCAGCCCGUCAUCUGCUACCAUGGGUUCGGUGGAGCUGGUGAAAGUAGCUGGAUGCAACUUUAGAAACCUUGUAAGCAUAUCCACUUGAGGUGGUGGGUUGGAGUGUUGGUUAUUCUGGUCAAUGUUUUGGUUGUUGGUUAUCUGUUGGGUUAUCUGCUGGAAAAAUUGAGUCUGAGCUGCCAACAGAGUCUGCAUGGUCACUACAUUGUUGUUCCCUUCCUCAUGGUUAUCACUGGUGUUGGUGGUGUGGCUGUUGUUGUUGUGGGUACGUCUUGGAGACAUCUGUUUAGGUUGCGUAGAUGAGAAAGUAGACAGAUGGAGUCUAAAAGAACCAUAACCCAACAGCAAGAAGUCAUAACAAUCACCAAUCAAGUAAGAUUCAACAAACAAAUAACAUAAUUCAGGCAUCCAAGCCCAAGAAAAGAAGUUCCAAAAGCUACCGAACAAAGUUUUUAUUAUCCAAAAUAAUUUACUAUUAUUAUUUAUGGCCAUCAAUAAAUCCAAAAGUGACAGCUCAUAAAUUACGUCUACCGUGACUAACUAUGAUGGUUUCAAUGUUUAAAAACCUUCAAAACUGGAUGAGAGAGUGAAAGAAGUGGAUGAGGAUAGAAUAUGAGAGUUUUCAAAAAUAUUUUAGUAUGCCAAAUAGGUACCUAAUAAGGUAAUUCCAAUCUAAGGGUCACGAACCUACAAGCAACACAAUUCUCUGAUACCAUCUGAAGCGAUCGCGCCCAUAUAGGGUUCGAUCUCUGUGCUUAUAGUGCUAGUCCCUGGAUCGACUCGCUAGCACACAGUUUCAAGAUGUAAUAUCAAGAUACAAAGGUCAAAAGUAUAUUACAUCACAUUGAUCCAGAAUUUAAUAGUACCUUACAUAUUGCAUAACCUCAUGGGUUAGCUCAAAAGAAAAUAAAAUCUUGCAGCGGAAGGCAGAAGAUACAGGAGUCCCGUAACAACUCCACAGUCGAAACUUUACCCACAAGAAAUCGACAUGUUAAUCUAUUGCUGUCCUCAGGGUAGAGUAGCAACGGCAUCGAUUACAAGAUUUUCAGAAGUAAUCCCCCAGACCCAUACCGAGGGACCCGCUCCCACCUACAUGGCUACAUCAUCACAAUCACCUCGGGCCCAGGUUCAAACAGCUUACUCAAUCUUAGCAGAGCCCAUAUUACCAUGUGGUUGUACUGGAAGCUACUAAACAGGAAACUAGUCCAGUCUCUAGUUACCCCGGGUGGCAUCCCACAUUUGCGACGCAGGUGCUCCCAUAGACAUGGAGAGACGACUCAUAGACAUGGACCAGAAAUGGACCUGACGCCGUAUACAUCUCAAAAACUCAAAGCCGCCCACCCAGGAUGAUUCAUUAAAGUUGUUUUAUCCAGGUUUCCAAAAUACUCUACAAUAUCAGUUUCAUGGUAUUUGAGAUUGUGGCGACCCAGACCCGUAAGGAUCCGGAAUCUCUAUGUAUUCUGUACUAGUCCCUGGAUCAAUAGCUAGUACACACAGUCCAAGAUGAAAUACCAAAAAUACAUGUCUUUUUGUUAACGAUAAACAAUAAUCCAGAGUACAUAUUUUAUAAUACACAGCGGAAAAAUCAAAUUGAACACCAAUGAGUCCAUCAACGCCACAGGCUUGUUGAGUAUAGACCCGCGACCCUGCGUAACCUUUCUUCAUACGUCAACAUCUGCACAUGAUAGGUGCAGGUCAGUACAUUGAAUGUACUUGCAAGUACAUACCUGUGUGGUUAGGAGAAAUGCAAGUACAUGCUUAAGGAUAAGUCCUAAAGAGGCUUCUACAGUUUCUUUUGCAAAAAACCGGUUUUGGAUUUUGAAAUACUCAUAAUACUUUUUCUUUGGAAAUCUGCACCACAAGACCUAACUCUGUGAUCUGCCAUCAGUGCUUCGAUGACUCACAAAGAUUUCCCUUACUAUGCAUUCUGGGUCAAACUGACACUCACAUAGUAACCCUCUGACUCAUUCUGUGGAUACUUCUAUGGAAUAGAAACUCAUUCUGUGGAUACCAUCGAGUCAAAACAGUUUUUGAGUUUUGAAAACAAAACUUAGAAGAUCUCCACUUGACCAGACUUAGUAGCUCAAAAUUCGCCCGUAACCAGGGGUAUGGCUAAUCGAUUAGAUUGACACUCUGCAGAGGUUUGUACACUUUACCCACCAGACACAAUCAAUCCAAAGUGUUGCCUAACGACAAGCGUGCGCAACAGGUAAAGAUUGUGAGAAAGUCUUUCACUAGAAGCCCCCUAUACUUAAUCCUGGCACCGCAAGUUCUAAAAAGCACAUUGGCCCCUCUCCGGAUGACGAUACCCAAGUAAGGGUUUUCCGCUAGUUGCUCGACCAAGCCAGAGCCAUAAUGGCAGGUGGUUGUACAAGUAAGCUUUUGGGUUCCAUUGGAAAAAACUUGAACUUUUAAAUAUUGGACGGCGGUCCCCACUGAAAAUCCUGAGCAUCUGCAGAGCCGAACUGGACGCUGCCCUUGUCGACAACCAAAAAUGGUCUCAGACAUACCAGUCCGCCCAGUGGAAAACAUUUUUGGGUUUUAUUUUGAAAAUAUUUUUGCCAAAAAUAUGCCGGCUCAAACUGAGCACUUAAUACUUCGAAAUAGUUUUGGGUCCCUCUCGGUACAAUAAUGUAGCAAGCACUUUGUAAAAUCUUACAAGUAAUAGCUUAGGGUAAUUGGUGGCAUGACAAACAACCUGUAGGCGUACUACAUAGGUCAUAACUAAUAAUUUGCAAACGCGUUUUGAAAAUACUUUAUAGAGAAUAACACCUACACAUGCAUUCUUACAGUUUGUAGAACAAAGUAGCAUAUGCAAAACUAUAGGAUUCUAGAUGAUCAGAGGUGUCACUUGCCUUGGCCUGUGUUGAUACAAACUUCUUCUUCACGACACUCGGUACAAUCGCACUCCGAAUCAUCUAUCGUGAAGAACAAAUAACAACAAUAACGGCAUUGUUCGAUAAUUCCAAAUAAAUCUAAAUGAAGAACCAAAAGUGAUGACCAACGAUUAUCUUUAUUGCUAAAGCACAGGAUAGGGUCCGGAAAAGAUGGGAAUACUUUGAUAGGAAUUCUGACUAAAGAAUUAUACUAUGCCCUUAAUAUCCCACAUGUUUUAUUUAUGAAAACAUGAACAAUGCACAUCUCAUGAUUCAACUAAAUUAUGGCAAGAUAUGCAACAAUAUGACAAAGCUAUCGUGCAAACUAUGCAUAUUAGGCGAACAUGAUAGAUAAUAAAAAAAAGCAUCAAGUUAAUUGGUUUUCUAGCAUGCUAUGAUGUUGUUAUUUAGUUAAAGUAAUUAAUAUCAAUGCAUCAAAUUCAUUUAUGCAAUGCAAACACAACUAUACAUUUAAUUUAUCAAUGCAAAUUGAUUAAGCUUUAUGAGAGUUAAUUUUAGUAGUUGUUGCUUAUUAACAUGCAAAGGCUAGUUAUGACAUAAACCUCAUGAUGCAAUUUAUAGGUAUGAAAAUAGAUUUGCACAAACUACUUUAGUGAUACCCAGACCUAGAAAAGAUAGAUAAAGAACCUAGACAAGAUUAGAAAAGAAUAUCUCUAAGUUGUUUGGGACAAAAUAGAGAAAGGAAAACUAAUCUAAAUGAGUUGAAGACAAGGACAUGUUUGAUCAGAUCACAACCUGUGAUAGAUGCAAAGGAAACUCGGAUUACAAAUAAGAAACUUGGAUUAGAAAUCAAUACAAAAGGCUAGGAUUGAAUUGGAGUUGAAACAGUGAAGUUCUGGCUGUUAACAGAUACAAACUAAUAUGGAUCAUGGGAUACUGUAGAUGAACAUGAAAAGGUGCACAAAGGGGUUCAGAAUAUGGGGUUUGAUGUAUUAUUGUCAAGACAAAAAGAAUCAUCUAAUUUGAAGCAAUGGAUCAAAAGAUAGGGACUUCGGAAUACAGCUAAUCAAGGUUUCAACACAGAUAGCAUGUAAUAGUGUUAACAGAUAGCAACUUCGGUUGACGAUGCACUAGUUUAGAUGAUACAGAACUUGUGUAAGAAGUUCACUGAUGUGUAGAACAAGAUGUAGUAGAUAAUCUGCCGAAGGUUUGAGACCAAAGGGAUGCUGUGGAUAGCAACUUUAGAUAAAGAUUAACUACUUAAGAUAAUCCAGACGGGGAAUGCAAACUGAUCUAAUCUGUAGAGCACGACGUGGUCUAAGCAUAGCAGAAAGAAUCGGCUAAAUAGGAUGUACAGUUGACAAUCUACAAGCUACCGAAGUGGCUAAUCAAAACAGACUGCAGCUCGAAAACAGAGCAAGAAAGCUCACCGGAGAAGAUGAAGUUCGCCGGAGUUGAUGGGAUUCGGCGAAAAAGAGGUUUACGAAGGCGAGGCCAUGGUGAAUGGUGUUCUAGGGUUCGAGAGGGAUCUAGUGGUGGUGAUGGCUCGGGCUAAUUUGGGGCGAGGUGGUAGGAAUUGCUCGCCUGAGUUCGCAUGGAAACAGCGACGAAAAUCUCGAAAUUGGAUGCGGGAUUGACAACGGCUUCGAGCUAGCUUUUGAGGGAUAGGUUGGGGCUCUCGAGGGCGUCAGGUUGGAGGCCUUUAUGGGACGCGGGGCGCUCGGGAUAAGGCCGGCGGCAGGUGAGAUUUGAACGGGAUCGGUUUCGCUUAAAAUUCGGACGAGAUAGAGUCCGGGAUGGUUUGAUUCUUGUUGGGAUGGAUUCCUUGCCAUGUGGGUCAUAAAAAGAGCAUAAAACGCGGAGAAAAACGGUUCGGAUUUUGGAAUUCGAGUUGGAGGCGGCCAUGGAACCCUGCUCGUCCUCGCGCUCGAGCUUGGGCUCAGCUGUGGCGCUGCGCGGGCAGGGGCAAGGGCAGGGAUGGCGGCGACCGGCAGAGAAGAGCGGAGGCGGCCAGGGACGAGCUGCAGCGGGGGCCAAGCGGCCAUGGCUCUCGGCCAGGAGGGGCACGGGCAGAGAACUCCCGUGCUGUGUGCCUGUGUACGUGAGGAAGAAGAAAGGAAGGAGAGAAAUAGAAAAGGAGAAAAAGAAAAGAAAAGAAAAGAGAAAGAGAGAUGGGCCGUUGGAUGAGAGAUGGAUGGACGAGAUUAGAAGAUACCCCUUCGGUACACUUAAGUGGAAACGGGUUUCACGGGAAUACAUGCAGAGAAAACGUACUCCACGGAAGAAAAAGAAAAACAAAUAAAGAAAUACCUUUUCUGGGUUUCUAAAUCGCCAGAAAAUCAAAUAAGGCAAAUAAAAUACCAAACGGCAUCGGAAAAAUUCAAGAAAAUUCCUGAAAUUCCAAAUACCUAUUUGGAAGCUAGGAAAUAUAGUUUCCUCAUGGAAUAUAAUUUAUAAAAAUAUUUUUAAUGCAUAUGCAGCUCAAAUAAAUUCCAACAAAUGCAUAUAAUCAAUUUGAAGGUCCAAAUAAACUCCCAAUUAAAUUGUAAGAUAAUCUCCAAACUCAAAUAUUGUCAAAAUGAUAUGCAUAUGACAUGAAAAAGGUAACAACAUCCAAAUUAGAAAAAUUGGGAUGUUACAGAGAUUCCCUCCCACAUAUACUAACAUAGCAUAGCAUUCAACUACCUACGAUGGCAAUUGGUGGUUACGUAAUGGCAGGGGUAAUCUAUACUAUUAGGACUUCAUAGCUAGCAUAGAUACAAUAAUAGUCCUAUCAAUGCAACUAAUAAAACAUCUAGUGCAUAAUAAAAUAAUAGGUGAAUGAUCAAAGUGAACUUGCCUUCUUCACCGGAGUAUGGGUUACAAUCGUCACACGAACAAAGAUCGCACUCCGAAAGAACUAAACAAAGCAAACAUACACACCUAUAAACACACAAUCCAAUACAAGGAAAAUUAUGGCAUGAUGCAAUGCAAACAUGUGACAUGGGUUGGUAGGUUUUAUUCAACAAGAUGUGUUCUCAGAUUAUCAUGAAUCAUGAAUCACAGAUUAAUUCUCUAGUCAAAAGUGAUUAAGCAAAAUAAGUUAUUACAAAAAAAUUAAUUAUAGGGUUCCAAAAAACAAGGGUUUAAAAGCAUGAAACAAGGUUUUAAAAGAAACCUACAAUAAAAUAAUUCAAGAUUUUAUUUCUCUGGUCCUAAUGGACAGAGGACAAAAAAAUAUAAUUUUGAGAGUUGGUUUUACAUAAAAAGGAUCAAUAAAACUUUUAAUAUGAUUUAGAUGGCAUUUAAAGCCUUUCUGUAAAUUGACCUAGUUGUUUAGAUUAUUCAAAUUUAAAUUUGGGCAGUGCCAAAAUAUUCUACCCCUCAAGAGGUUUGCAGGAAGGUGUUGUUUGUCAAAUUUGGCCAAACAGAUUAAAAGUUAUUAGUGUUUGAAGUUUCAGGGGCUUUUCUGCAAAGUUACCAUUUAAUUCGGGGGAGGGGGGGGAAUAAGUUUUAAUAAAAAUGGUGCCACGGGCGGUUUCUCAUUUGCCUGUACCGGUUCGGUUAAAGAAUAAACGAGGGCCGUCAGAGUUUAAGAUGGAUGGACGGCUCGGAUCGACUAUGGGGCUUACCAGCGGCUAGGGUUCCGGCGAAGUUCCGGCGGCGGUGGCGGCUCGGGAAAACGCCGGCGAGGUCCUCGGGCUCGGGAAAAAGCGGAGAAGACGCGGCUCGCUCCGGUGAGGCUCCUCAUGGCCAUGGUUUGCUUCGGGGGGGGGGGGGGGCUGGGAGUCGACGCCUAGGUCAACCGGGAGACAGCGGCGGUGGUGAAGCUUCGGGUCGCCACGUCCUCGGCUGCACCAAACAGGGAACAGAGCACGUCAAAACAAGCGCAAGGAAGAGCGGAAGCAGACAAGAAAGGUGGCGGCAUUGAUGACGUACAGGCUCGUCAGCGGUGAGUUUGGAACGGCGACGGCAGAGGCGACGCGACGACGAGAAAUCGAGGCAGCUUGACGGCGGGCGAGAUCGAGAGAGAGGGGAGGGGGGAAAGAGAGAGGGGGCCGCGGCCUUUAUAGCGACGUGCAAGGAAAGUGGAGGGGGGCAAGGAGGCGAUGGCACGGCGGGGACACGGGCCGGGGACGGCGCACGGGCGUCGCGCGUGUGACUGGCGCGGGCUUUCCUUCGGGAACUAAGGCCCUGACAGAUGGGUCCCACCUGUCAGUGGCAACUCGGGCGCUCGCAUGUGCAAGCGGGCGGGCUGGCUGUGCUAGUCGGUCGGUCGUGCGGGGCGCGCGGGGGUGACUGGGCCGAUUCGGCCCAUUCGCCAGGUCCGGUCCGUUUCCCCUUUUUUUUGUUCUUUUCUUUUUCUGUUUUUCCUUUAUAACUUUUGAUUUUGAACUCCAAAUCUAUCCAAAUAAAUUCCAGAAAAUUUAUAAAAUCAUAUCCUCAAAUUUAAUAGCCUCUGGGACUUGAUUUCCUACAAAAUAAAUAUUGAAAAAUACUUUUGCUUAUAAAAUUGCCUUUAGGGCUUUGUAAAUAAUAAAACAAAAUAGUUUUUCUACUCCAAUUUAAAUACUAAAAAUUAUGGGGUAGCUCAUUUAUGCAAUAAACCCCCUUUUAUGAUCAAAACCCUAUUGGGUUGAAAAUCCAAUUUGCAGAAGGGAGAUGAAAGUCAAGAUUUAAAAUAAGGUAGGCUUUUAAAAGGGAUUUAAAAUUCAAAAACAAGGUUUUGAAUGUGGAUAAAAUGCAUAGGUGGCAUGAUGCUCAUGGAUGCAAAUGCAUGAUGCAAAGUUUGAGAAAUUUUGGGAUGUUACAUCUAAAAAUGCUUGAAUAGAAAAGACUUGAGAAACUAAACAUUGAAAAACCUGACAAUUUCCUACCAGUAGAAAUUGAUGUUACCCUUGAAGAUGUCUUAGAACAACAUGAUGAGCAUGAUGCUGAUUUUAAUUCUGGAUAUGACUCCCCUCCUAGUGAUAAUGAACCUGAACAUGAGCAGGAUGAUUUUCAUGUCUCUUAUAAACUUAGGACGGAUAGAAGUCACUUGUCCAAGAGUUGUUAUAAUAAAUUUUCGGAUGCAAUACCUUUUUUGGAACCUUAGGGUCUUAAAUGACCCAGCUAAAAGUAAAAGAGUUUCUGAGCUCUUUAGAGCUCAUCAUCCUGCCAUUAUUGUUUUGUCCAAAACCAAAAAAAUGGAUGUUAGUCCAUCUUUUCUAGAUUCUUUAGUGAACUUUGGCAAUUUGAGCUGGAACCAUCUCCCAGCAGUUGGGACAGUGGGGGGGAUUCUCCAUGGCAUUGAAUUUGAUGUUUUUGAUGUCAUCACUUGGAAUGUUAGUUCCUUUUGUGAGUCUUGUGAUAUAAAAUCUAAGAAGGACAGUUUUGUCCAGAAAGUAGGGGUUGUUUAUGGCCCAGUAUAUGAUGAAUUAAAAUAGGAAUUCCUAGAUGAGCUUUCAUCUAUUUGUGGAUCCUGUAAUACCCCCAUGAUGGUGGGUGGAGAUUUCAACCUGAUUAGACAAGCUAGUGAGAAAAGUUCAAGAAACAUUAAUCAAAACUGGGCUGAUAAAUUCAAUAAUUGGGUUAAUUCUGCAGCCCUAAUGGAACACAAAAUUGCCAACAGAUUAUUUACCUUGUCUUAUAAGUAGGAAAAUCCUGUGAUGGCAGCUAUUAACAAAAUCUUUGUAUCAACUUGUUCGGAAGCCCACUUCCCUUCUUCCCUAGUAUCUGCGUUAGCAAGAAUUGGAAGUGAUCAUGUGCCUCUGUGGCUAGAGUGUGGUGGCAUUGCUACCCCUAGAGGAAAAAAAAAUUCAGAUUUGAGAAAUGGUGGCUUGAGGUUGAAGGAUGUAUUGCACUAAUUAACAAAGAUUGGUCCUUACCAUGACCCUGUCAAGAUGCCUUAGAUAUCGGGCAGUUUAAAAUCAGGAGGCUUCGGAAAUUCCUAAAAGGAUGGAGUAUCAAUAUAGAAGCAGAACAAAAGAACCUCAAAAAAUCUCUGAUUGCAGAAUAUGACUGUUUAGAUAUCAUGUCUGAAUCUCAAACAUUAUCACCAUCUUAGAGUGAAAGAAUGAAGACAAUUAGGUCUGAACUUAAUAAGAUAUGGAAAAUGGAGGAAAUUAAAGCAAGACAAACGGCUAGAGAGAGAGACAUUCUAGUAGGAGAUUAAAAUACUGCCUACUUCCAUGCUAUUGCUAACCAAAGAAGAAGGAGGAAUAAAAUUGUAUCCUUAGAAGGGCCUGAUGGUCUAGUACGUGACACUCCUUCCAUGUCCAAAUUGCAGUUUAAUUUUACAAGAAAUUGUUUGGUAAAGAAGAGAAACUAGAUAUUAACCUCGAUGAAAAUUUUUGGGAGCCUGAUGUAACAUCCCAAUUUUCAAAACUCUUCAUAUGCAUUGCAUAUCAUAAGCAUCAUGUCACCUUUGCAUUUGAUCACUUUCAAAACCCUAAAGUUUGCCCAGAAAACCCUUUUGCAAAGUUGCCUUUAUUUGAUUUUGGGCUUUGAUCUUGCUCUUGAGUAUUUGCAUUUUAACCCAUGAGGGUAUUGUGGUAAAAAGGGACUUAAUGCAUAUAUAGAGCUAUCCCAUAAGUUGGCUUUUGAAAUUAUUUUGAAAAAUAAUUUGUUUCGAUAGCCUAAAAGCCAUUUUAUAGGCAAAUGUAUUUUUAAAUAUUUUAUUUUGAGGAAAUUCUUGUUCCAAAAGUUAGAUCAUAUGAAAAUAUGAUUUUACAAAUUUUGUUGCAAUUUAUUUGGAGUGAUUUGGAGCGCCGAAUUAAUUUUGAGGUUCGAAAACAGAAAAUAAAUAAAAGAAAAGGAAAAACCGAGGAAAACUGGCCGAACCGGACCGAUCGGCUCAGCCCAGCCGAGCCGCCCGGUUCUCUCACUGACCGGUGGGACCCGCGCGUCAUCUUCUUCUCCAACUGUCUCCCGAGAAACCCAGCCACGCACCGUCCAAGUCGCACACGAUUCCGUCCAAGCGAACAUAGCUGAAGACCAGGUGGGAAUACUCCAAGGUCAACCGACGAUGAAGACAAACGAGGUGAACCGCAGGGGAGAUGUUAUCCUGAACAUGCACGUGAUCAUGGAGCAGAUUAUGUAUGAGAAGGAUCUCCUACAACUUCAGUAUGAUCAGCUCCAAGCCCAGGUCAACAAGGCCAACCCUGCACCUGCACCUGCACCAGCACAAGUUCCACCACCCCCACAGGACGAGGAGAUGGAGCCACAGGAGGAGGAACCUCAGGAUGCGCAGGAGAUGGACCCACCUGCCACUCGCACCCGUUCUAGGGCGAAGAACUCCGGGAACACCAACUUCCUUUCACUUCCGUAGUUUCAGCUUAGAGUCCGCCAGACUUUUUAUUAUACUAUAUUCGUUAUCGUGUUAGUCAUUGACCCUGCCGUCAUUGUGAUAUGGCAAUGUAGAUUCGUGUGUUUACUUGCAACUCUUUACUUAUAUUUAGGCUGUUAUGCCUUGAGAACUAUUUGUUUUGGAUGUUAAAAUCAUAGUGAAUGUUUUGCUUGCUUUAUAGUUGAUUUGUUUCAUGAUUGAAUUGUCAUGCUUGUGUUAUGCUUGUUGUUUGAACUGUUGUACUGCUUGUGUUGCGGGGCUUAGUUUUUCCCUUAGAUCUUGUCCAUCUAUUUUCUCAUCUAUGCUGUCCCAAAACAGAUGCCGCCGAGACGCGAUACUCGCCGGGAUGCCGACAACAGUGAGUAGGGUCAGGACAGCCACGCCGCCACUAUGCAGCAUCUACUGGCUGCACAGACUCAGAUUUUGCAAGCUUUGACCCAGCAGAUGAACAACCACAACAACCAGAACCCCAACCCACCACCUCAAGUGGACAUGUUAACCAGGUUUCUGAGGCUGCGUCCACCAACAUUCACCAACUCCCCGGAACCGAUUGUAGCGGAUGAUUGGCUCCGUUCUGUGAGCAAAUGCCUAGUGACAGUUGGCUGCAAUGAAGCUGACAAGGUGAGGUUUGCCGCUCACCUACUUGAAGGACCUGCCGCAGCUUGGUGGGAGACUUAUCAGAUCACUACACCCAUGGAGGAGGUCACAUGGGAAAUGUUCCAAGAUGCCUUCCGCACCGCCCACAUCUCUGCGGGCGUGCUGAGCUUGAAGAAGAGGGAAUUCCACAAACUAAGGCAAGGGAACAGGACCGUGUCAGAGUACAUUGAAGCUUUCAACAAGUUGUCACGCUAUGCCCCGGAUGAUGUCAACACUGAUGCAAAACGCCGGGAAAGGUUUUUGGAUGGCUUGAACGACGAACUCGCCGUUCAACUGGCAGUUGUUUACAUCCCUACAUAUCAGUCCCUCAUGGACAAAACCAUCAUUCUUGAAAACAAGCAGAAUCAGAUGGAAAACAGGAGGAAAAAGCCUCACCAUGGCAACAAUUACACUGGUCCACACCAGAAGCCGCGCACCUCAUACGAGGGUAGUGGCAACUCUUCGAUGGUUAAGCAUGGUGGAAAUCAUCAGAGUCACCAUGGAGGGAGUGGAUACCAUCACCGCCAUGGAAAUCAAGGACAUCACCACCACCAGGGAGGAAAUAGCAGCCGAAACCACCAGCACCAGGAUCCAAGGAUCAACAGCAACAAGGGCAGUGGCCAUAACAAUGGAGGCAACCCAGGACAGAACCGCACCACUGGCAGGGAUAUGAGCCAAGUGCAAUGCUUUAAGUGUCACAAGAUGCGGCACUACUCCAAUGAUUGUCCGGAGAAGUUCAAUGAGGCUGGAGCAAAGCCUAACCCAUUUCAGAAGGGCAAUGUGAACCACGUCAACGUGGAGGAAAUCACGGAGGAGCAAGGUAUCGUAAUCGGCACCUUCCGUCAAAAUUCUUUUGAAGCACUCGUACUGUUUGAUACCGGUGCAUCGCAUUCUUUUAUCUCAAGGAGUUUUGUGCAUGAGAAUGGAUUAACCACUAGUACCUUAGUGAACCCUAUGAAGGUGAAGUCACCUGGGGGAGAGAUGAUAACGGCUCAUGAAUGCCGAAUGCUGACAUUAGAAAUUGGAAAACACAAUUUCCCCACAGACCUGAUAGUGGUAGGAUCAAAAGGUUUGGAUGUGAUCCUAGGAAUGGAUUGGUUAGCCAAGUAUGAAGGACUUAUAGAUUGUGUCAAGAGGACAAUCACACUCACAACCCCAGAGAAGAAGCGAAUCCGCUUCAAGUCAACCUAUGAGCUUAAAUUACCCAAGGUAAAUUCUCUUAAGGGGGUUAGCCUAGAGGAUGUACCGAUAGUGAAGGAAUAUCCAGAUGUGUUUCCAGAGGAAUUACCAGGCAUGCCACCAGACCGAGAUGUGGAAUUUCUUAUUAAAUUAUUGCCAGGAAGUGGACCUAUAGCCAAGAGACCGUAUAAGAUGGCUGUAGAUGAAUUAAAAGAGCUGAAGAAGCAAUUGGCAGAACAGUUGCCAAGGGAUUUAUUCGCCCUAGCUCAUCACCAUGGGGAGCACCUGUCCUAUUUGUGGAAAAGAAAGACAAGAGCCAAAGGAUGUGCAUAUACUAUCGUUCACUAAAUGAGGUGACGAUAAAGAACAAGUACCCACUACCCAUAAUCAAUGAUCUAUUCGAUCAAUUGAAAGGAGCCUGUGUUUUUUCAAAGAUCGAUCUUCGAUCAGGUUAUUUUCAGUUAAAGAUCCGAAAAAUGGAUAUACCCAAGACAACAUUUACCACUAGGUAUGGCCUGUAUGAGUACACAGUGAUGCCUUUUGGAUUAACCAAUGCCCCGGCAUACUUCAUGAAUAUGAUGAACAAGGUAUUCAUGGAAUAUUUGGAUAGGUUUGUCGUAGUAUUCAUCGACGACAUUUUGAUCUACUCGAAAAGCAAAGAAGAACAUGAAGAACAUUUGCGUCUAAUCAUGGAAAAGCUUAGAGAGCACAAGCUUUAUGCAAAAUUCAGCAAGUGUGAAUUUUGGUUGUCCGAAGUUGGUUUCUUGGGACGCAUUGUGUCAGGAAAUGGAAUUGCCGUCGACCCCGCUAAAGUAGCGGCCGUGACUGAAUGGGAAGUCUCUAAGAACGUCGGGGAUGUUCGCAGCUUCCUAGAACUUGCUGGAUAUUACAGGAGGUUCAUAGAGAGUUUCUCCAAGAUUGCCAAACCUAUGACUGAGCUUUUGAAGAAAGAAAAGAAGUUUGAAUGGACUGAUAAGUGUGAAGAAAGUUUCCAGGAUUUGAAGAAGAGGCUAGUAUCAGCACCCAUCCUUGUUUUGCCCGACUUACUGGAAGAUUUCCAAGUGUACUGUGACGCUUCGCGUCUAGGAUUGGGAUGUGUUUUGAUGCAGGGAGGAAGAGUCGUAGCAUACGCCUCAAGACAAUUUAAGAAUCAUGAAAGAAAUUACCCCACUCAUGAUUUGGAACUAGCAUCGGUAGUGCACGCACUCAAGACUUGGAGGCACUAUCUCAUGGGAAAGCAAUGUGAGUUAUUCACUGAUCAUAAGAGCUUGAAGUAUAUAUUCACGCAGAAAGAAUUGAACUUGAGACAAAGAAGAUGGUUAGAGUUAAUCAAGGAUUAUAAUCUGAAUCUUCAAUACCAUCCAGGCAAGGCUAACGUAGUGGCUGACGCUCUGAGCCGCAAGGGCUAUGUUAAUGGACUUACAGCUGGAGAAUUACCUGCUGAAUUGUGUGAGCAGUUCAAGGAUCUUAGAUUGGAGAUAGUUCCGGAAGGUUACAUAGCCAACAUGGAGGUACAACCUACUCUACUGGACAGAAUUAGAGAAGCCCAGAAAGAAGACUCAGAAAUUAGAACGAUAAAGGAUAAUAUGGCUAUUGAAAAGGCAAAAGGAUUCGUUGAAGACGAUAAGGUACCAUAUGGUUUGAGAAGCGUAUUUGUGUACCACAAGAUUCCGAGAUCAGAAAGCUAAUACUACAAGAAGCUCAUGAUUCACCGUACUCAAUCCACCCCGGUAAUACAAAGAUGUACAUGGACUUGAAAGAAAAGUUUUGGUGGACAGGAUUGAAGCGAGACAUUGCUGAGUAUAUCGCUCUGUGUGAUGUUUAUAGCAGAGUCAAGGCUGAACAUCAGAAACCAGCUGGAUUACUACGACCAUUGCCAGUGCCAAACUGGAAAUGGGAUAAAGUAGGCAUGGACUUCAUCACCAGCUUGCCAAGGACAAGAUCGGGUUAUGAUUCCAUAUGGGUAGUAGUUGACCGUUUGACCAAAGUUGCCCAUUUCAUACCAGUGAAGACUACUUAUACAAGUGCACAGUUGGCCAAACGAUACAUGUCUAGGAUCGUAUGCCUACAUGGAGUUCCUAAAGAGAUCGUUUCAGACAGAGGUACCCAAUUUACCUCAAGAUUUUGGGGGCAAUUGCACGAGUCUCUAGGCACGAGACUAGAGUUUAGCACAGCGUUUCACCCAUAGACAGAUGGACAAACAGAAAGAGUGAACCAAAUUCUAGAAGAUAUGUUAAGAGCUUGCGCUCUGGACUAUGGUUCUAGCUGGGAUGAGAAUCUACCAUAUGCAGAGUUCUCAUACAACAACAGUUUUCAAGCGAGUAUUGGAAUGGCACCAUUCGAAGCUUUGUAUGGCAAGAAGUGCAGGACACCUUUGCUAUGGGAUGGUGUAGGAGACCGCAGUCUAUUCGGACCCGACAUGAUAAAGGAUGCUGAAGAGAAGGUCAGGCUGAUUCGAGACAGGCUCAAGAUAGCUCAAUCCAGGCAAAAGUGUUAUGCAGAUUCCAAACGAAGGGAGAUCAUCAAUGAGAUUGGUGACAGAGCGUAUCUCAGAGUUUCCCCGAGACGCGGAGUUAAAAGAUUUGGGAUUAAAGGAAAAUUAGCGCCACGCUAUAUUGGACCCUACAAGGUUCUAGCACGCCAAGGAGAGGUAGCUUACAAGUUGGAGUUACCUGAAAAGUUGACAAGUGUCCACGAUGUUUUCCACGUGUCACAGUUAAAGAAGUGCCACCCAGAAAUGGCCGAUACGCCACUAAGGGAUACAGUUUCACUUGACGAAGUGGAGAUUCAAAGCGAUCUCACAUACGAAGAGAAACCAACCAGGAUCUUGGAAACAGCGGAAAGACAUACCCGUUCCAAGACAAUCAAGUUCUGCAAGGUUCAAUGGAAUCACCACACCGAAGAAGAAGCAGAGGAUGAUCUUCGAGAAGACCGCCCACACCUUUUUGCUAACCAACAGGAAUCUCGAGGACGAGAUUCAUCUUAAGGGGGUUAGUUCUGUAACAUCCCAAUUUUCAAAACUCUUCAUAUGCAUUGCAUAUCAUAAGCAUCAUGUCACCUUUGUAUUUGAUCACUUUCAAAACCCUAAAGUUUGCCUAGAAAACCCUUUUGCAAAGAUGCCUUUAUUUGAUUUUGGGCUUUGAUCUUGCUCUUGAGUAUUUGCAUUUUAACCCAUGAGGGUACUGUGGUAGAAAGGGCCUUAAUGCAUAUAUAGAGCUAUCCCAUAAGUUGGCUUUUGAAAUUAUUUUGAAAAAUAAUUUGUUUCGAUAGCCUAAAAGCCAUUUUAUAGGCAAAUGUAUUUUUAAAUAUUUUAUUUUGAGGAAAUUCUUGUUCCAAAAGUUAGAUCAUAUGAAAAUAUGAUUUAAAUUUUUUUUUUGCAAUUUAUUUGGAGUGAUUUGAAGCUCCAAAUCAAUUUUGAGGUUCAAAAACAGAAAGUAGAUAAAAGAAAAGGAAAAACCGAGGAAAACCGGCCGAACCGGACUGGACCGACCGCCCGUUCCCCCAAACCGCUCGCCCAAUUUCGCUUCGGUUAGGAUUUAAUUUCAACCCGAAGUUCUUCACGAACGUCGCCGUUCUUCGCGUUUUGCCGUCGUUUCGGUGAGCUUCCGCCCGCGCCAACCCUCUCUCCUUCUUCCUCUCUCCAGCGCGAAUGCCGUGACGCGCUCGCUUUUGAGUUUAGCCGCCGCCGCCGCCCCCACCCGCACAGCCGCCUCCGCGCCGCCGCCCCGCCCGCGCCGCUCCGCCUCCGGCCGCCCGCCGCCGUCCGGCGAGCUAACCCUGCCGGCCAAAACCCUAGGUGCCGGCCAAUCGCAUGCUGCAACGUGGCAUAGAUUUUGUUUUAUUUUUAAUUCGGCCGAAUUAGAUAAUGCAUUUUUGCAGAAAAUCCCCUGUAACGUCAAAGCCCCAUAUCUUUCAAACCGUUUGUCCAAAAAUUGUGAUCCACACCUUUUUGGAAUCGCCACAACGUGUAGAAUAUUUUGGCACUGUUUAAAUUUAAUUUUGAACAACUUAGACAGUAGCUAUUUACAGAAUGGUGGUUUAUGGUUUAAAUUUCAAAUGAAUUGUUUCAAAAUAGUUUUGAGCAUGUUAUCUUGCUGUAAAAUUAUUUAAACUUGUUCUCUGUCCAUUGGGACCAGGAAAGAAAUUAUUUUGUGAAUAAUCAUGGCAUACAAGUUUAAAUAUUGCUCUAUGUGGCAAAAGCCGCACAACCUUUUGUUUUAAACCCUAUCCAGGUAUCAUGCAUAGUAAUUACCUCUUUGAUGUUGUAUAAUCUGUCCAAAUCAUUUGAAAAACUUUUCAAAACAGAAAAGAAACUUUGUACUUAGAAGUAACCUUGUGUGCAUCAUCAUGGCAUAUGCAUCAUGGCAUGAUUUUGUAUUGAGUGUUGUGUUUAUUGUGUGUGUUCCUUUUAUUUUAGAUUGUGUGGAGUGUAAUCAUUGUUGUUGCGAAGAGUGCGAGAACUACCACAACCUGGACAAGGCAAGUUCACUUUGAUCAUUCUCCUAAAUAUUUUUCUAUGCACUAGAUGUUUUAUUAGAUGCAUCAGGAAUAUUACUCGUACUUCUAUGCUAGCUAUAAAUCCCAGGUAGUCUAGUUUACCCUCGCCAUUACCUUGCUACCAAAAUUGCCAUCGAUUGUAGUUGAAUGCUAGGCUAUGGUAGUAUCGUGGGGGAAAUAACUACAUUAUGAUAUUGUUAUGCCUUUGGCGAUAUGAAAUGUUUUGUUAGAAGUAAGGCAAAACAAUUAAUUCAAUGAACCGUCUUGGGUGGGCUGCUUUGAAGAUUUUGAGGAUUAGUGGCGUCACAUCCAUUUCUAUGGGUCCCUUUGAGUCGAGUUCCUGUGGAUUCAGGAAUGGAUCGUCCAUGGACGUCUCUCCCGUGAAUUCGGAGAGCGCCUACGUUGCAAAUGUGGAAUGCCACCUGGGGUAACCGAGACUGGACUAGUUUCCUAUUUAGAAGCUUCUAGUACAACCACAAUGCUAUAUGGGCUCUGGCGAGACAAGAGUAAGUUGUAUGAACCUAAACCCGAAGAAUUGUAUUGAGGUAGCCGUGUAGGGGGAGCGUGAUUCUCUCGUGGUUUAGGGAAUUAUCUCUGAAAAUCUCGUAAUCGAUGCCGUUGCUACUCUACCCUAAGGACAACAAGGGAUUAACACGUCGGUUUCUUGUGGGGAAUGUGUACAAACUCUCGAGAGCGUGAAAACUAAGUACUUAGCCGUGUCCCCGGCAACGGACAAUUUGAGCGACUAGAUGUGGAGCUGUAAGGAAAGUCUCACUCAUUCCAAUUUCUUAAGUAAAAUGAAUGGUUGAACAGGGUAGGAGCACUUGAUGAAUCCACUUCAAUGUGCUCUAGGAUAAUAGGAGCAUGGGUGUGUCUACCCCGUGUCCAAUAGUGAUAAAAUUCUAUUUGAUUAAAAGAUAGGAUUCAAUAACUAAGCUUUUAUGCAAAUAGCUUGAACCCCACUUUGCCACAUUAUGCAUAUAUUUGGUAGGCUCUGGUAUAACUCCUAGUGAAUCUUGCCAAUACAUUCAAUGUAUUGACCCUAGUGGCUGCAUCGUUUAAUGAUGCAGGAAGCUCUGACGACAAGUAAGAUGUACGUCCUGCACAUGGAGGAGGGUUGAUGGGUCACUUCGGCGUGAAGAAGACCGAAGAUGUGCUCGCUAAUCAUUUCUUUUGGCCUCGGAUGAGACGGGAUGUUGAGAGAUUUAUCGCUCGCUGCACUACAUGUCAAAAAGCUAAGUCACGACUCAAUCCUCAUGGUUUAUAUAUGCCUCUCCCUGUUCCUAAUGUUCCUUGGGAAGAUAUAUCAAUGGAUUUUGUUUUGGGAUUGCCUCGAACUAAGAAGGGGAGGGAUAGCAUAUUUGUUGUUGUUGAUAGAUUUUCUAAGAUGGCACAUUUUAUACCUUGUCAUAAGAGCGAUGAUGCUACCAAUGUUGCUGAUUUAUUCUUUCGUGAAAUUGUUCGCUUGCAUGGUGUGCCCAAUACUAUAGUUUUAGAUCGUGACACAAAAUUUCUUAGCCACUUUUGGAGAUGUUUAUGGGCUAAGUUGGGGACUAAAUUGCUUUUUAGUACUACAUGUCAUCCCCAAACAGAUGGACAAACUGAAGUUGUUAAUAGAACAUUACCUACUAUGCUUAGGGCUGUUUUAAAGAAAAACUUGAAAAUGUGGGAAGAAUGUUUACCUCAUAUUGAAUUUGCUUAUAAUCGUUCACUGCAUUCAAACACAAAAUUGUGCCCUUUUGAAAUUGUUUAUGGUUUUAUACCUCGUGCACCAAUUGAUUUGUUACCUUUGCUAACUUCUGAAAAAGUUAACUUUGAUGCUAAGGAACGUGCUGAACUUAUAAUAAAAAUGCAUGAGACGACUAAAGAGAACAUUGAGCGCAUGAAUUCUAAGUAUAAACUUGCGGGAGAUAGGGGCGGAAAACAAAUUGUGUUUGAACCUGGAGAUCUUGUUUGGUUGCAGUUGCGCAAAGAUCGUUUCCCUGAUUUGCGCAAGUCUAAGUUAAUGCCACGAGCUGAUGGUCCCUUUAAGGUGUUAGCAAAAAUUAAUGAUAAUGCAUAUAAACUUGAGCUACCUGCAGAUUUUGGGGUUAGUCCCACGUUUAAUAUUGCAGAUUUGAAGCCUUAUUUGGGAGAAGAAGAUGAACUACCGUCGAGGACGACUUCGAUUCAAGAAGGGGAGGAUGACGAGGACAUCCCAACUAAUGAUACAACCACAGCCCCUACAGCACCUACACCUCAAGUACCGGAGAUACAUGGACCAAUUACUAGAGCUCGUGCACGACAACUAAAUUAUCAGGUAUUUUCGUUCCUCGGUACUUCAUUUAAUAUUAAUGAGAAUAUGCUGCUACCUAAGAUGGGUUCUUUUAUGUGUUUUAGGAAUGAAGGACCUAGUUUGCACCUCAAGGAUCAGCGUUGGACAGCAAACCAUGGAGGUGGCAGCAAGGUGGCGGGAGCUAGCUCAAGUGAUGACUUCAGAACAUUAAAAUCGCCAUAACGAGAGAUGAGAAGAAGGCCGCAUCCUCUUCAUCAAUGGGAUUUCGGCCAAGUGGAGGAUUCCCCCUCCAAUGGGUAUCUAUGGGCCAAAGAUGAGGGUUAUAACCUUGCUUUAUUGGGCCUAAGGCCAUGUAAUAGGGUCCAGCCAAUUUUUAGAUGCUUUCGUUGUGUUUUAGGAGGAUUCCUAGGCCGUUUCGGAGUCCCUCAAGGGCCUGUCCGAAAACCUCCUAGUUCCCCUCCUACUUAUACCCCAUGAGCCCCCCCAUGAAGCCUUGGGUUUUGAUUAGAUAAAGUUUAGCCAUCUUUGCUACUUUCGUGUAAUCCCGUGUGUCGGUUAGACCACCUGUUUUACCGUCGUCAAGACUCCAACUUAUCGUCUCGUUGAGACAUCGGUUUGAUAUAGUAUACUUGCAAUUUGAGAUUGCAUCCGCUAUUUAUCUUGUUCUUGCUUGUUCUUCGAUUGCUUGCAGGAACAAAGACCUUCGUGGUCAGGUUGAUCGUGCCCCCGCGUGAUCAAUAACCCUCUGGAGUUGGUGUAUCGAUUGCUAAGGCGCUGCCUCCUAGGCCGUAGUCGGAUCAUCAACGUCACCCCUACCCAAAUCGAGAGUUAUCAAUCUCAUCGAAAGAUCGGGCCACCCCCACCCAUAUCAGAAACUGUGUGUGCUAGUGAGUCGAUCCAGGGACUAGCACUAAAGCACAGAGAUCGAACCCUUGUACGGGGGCGGUCGCUUCACCUGAGGACCUAGUCACAGAAGAAGAGAAUAACCUACUAGAUCAAAACGUCUCCGAAGAAGAAAUAAAAGAGGCUGUGGUGCCCCUGGCCCAGAUGGAUUCCCCUUCCUGUUUUAUCAGAAGUUUUGGGAUACCAUAAACCUGAUUUGAUUAAUCUCUUUAGAGAUUUUGAUAACAAUACAGAUGACCUAUAUAGAUUGAAUUAUGCCAUGCUGACCCUAAUUCCAAAAGAACCAGAUGCUACCUCUCUUAAGAAAUUCGGGCCCAUUGCCCUUACAAAUUGCAAUUUUUAAAUUUUUGCUAAGGCCUGCACAAUUAGACUAGGGAGUUGUGCUGAUAGACUCAUUUCCAAAAAUCAAACAACUUUCAUCAAGGGGAGAUAUAUCCUAUAUAGUGCGGUAACAGCACAUGAAAUAAUUCAUGAAGUUUAUUCCAAAAAAGAAAAAGGAAUCCUACUUAAGCUGGAUUAUGAAAAAGCAUACGACAGAGUGAAUUGGGAGUUCCUGGAACAAAUGAUAACACAGAGGGGCUUUAGCCAGAAGUGGAUCAACAAACUUCAAACACUGAUUUAUAGAAGCUCUGUAGGCAUCAGACUGAAUGACUCACAAAGUGCCUAUUUUGUCACUGGAAAAGGCUUGAGACAAGGUGACCCGUUAUCCCCCAUCUUGUUUAAUUUGGUGGCUGAUGUUUAUACCAAAAUGCUUGCUAAAGCAGCUGGGCAUUCCCUCAUCUCUGCGCUACUGUCUGAAUUUUGCCCUCGUGGUAUAAUCAGCCUGCAAUAUGUUGAUGACACUUUAAUUUUCUUACAAAACAACUUACAGAUGGCCCAAAAUCUGAAGUGGUCCCUCACCUUAUUUGAACAAAUAUCAGGAAUGAAAAUAAACUAUCAUAAAUCUGAUUUAAUACCUAUGAACCUUGAAGAAGAAGAAAUCAACUCCUUGGCUCAGAUUUUUGGCUGCAAAAAAGGAAAUCUACCUAUCACCUAUUUGGGUGUGCCUCUAACACCACAGUAAGCUUAGGAAGGAAGAUCUGCAGCCUGUAAUUGACAAAAAUCAUUAAGAGAAUAGCUGGGUGGAAGGGCAGGUCCUCUCCUACGGUGGAAGGAUCAUUUUGAUCGGGGCUUGCUUGGCAAGCAUACCAAUUUAUCUUUUUUCUAUCAUUAAAUUCCCAAGCUGGAUGUUAAAUAAAAACAUCAGAUUCAAUUAAGAGUGAGUUCACCUGUUGUUCAAGUAGCUUUGCACGUGCUCUUGUUAUUGGCCCAAGUCUAACUUCAGUGGGCUUGUCUUGUGCAGCAACAUCAUCAAUUGGAGUUGAUGAGAAAGGACUAGGGAUAUCCUCAUGAUCCUCCCCCCCCCCCCUUGAUAAGGCGUCGACCCCGACGCAGCAAGGUCUUUUCCAGCAUUGGCGUCAAAUCGGCAACGUUGAAUGUAUUACUAACGCCAAACUCAUCGGUUGGAAGUUCAAUCUUGUCUGCAUUGUCAUUAAUCUUGGCAAGCACUUUAUAUGGUCCAGCACCACGUGGCUGCAACUUGGACUUGCGACGUUCUGAAUAUCUGUCCUUGCGAAAAUGUACCCACACCAUGUCGCCGGGCUGAAACAAUACCUCCUUGCGCUUCUUGUUCACACGUUCAGCGGUGUGCUUGCCUUUCUUCUCAUUGCUUCUUUUGUCUUCUCAUGUAUCUUCCUCAAAAUCUGCCCUCUUGGAUGCCUCCAGGUAGACACGCUCUUGCAUGGGUAGAGGCAACAAAUCAAGGGGUGUAAUGGGUUUAAAACCAUAGACCACCUCGAAUGGACAGAGCUGCGUUGUUGAGUGUACCGCCCUGUUAUAUGCAAACUCCACAUGCGACAAACAAUCUUCCCACUCACGCAGAUUCUUCUUGUGAUACGGGUGCGGGUGGCCCGAUCUUUCGAUGAGAUUGGUAACUCUCGAUUUGGGUAGGAGGUGACGUUGACGAUCCGACUACGGCCUAGGAGGCAGCGCCUUAGCAAUCGAUACACCAACUCCAAAGGGUUAUUGAUCACGCGGGGGCACGAUCAACCUGACCACGAAGGUCUUUGUUCCUGCAAGCAAUCGAAGAACAAGCAAGAACAAGAUAAAUAGUGGACGCAAUCUAAAAUUGCGAGUAUACUAUAUCAAACCAAUGUCUCAACGAGAUUACACGAAGUAGUAGCAAUGGCUAACUUUUAACUAAACAAAACCCAAGGCUCCUUAGGGGGGGCUCAUGGUGUAUAUAAAGGAGGAGGGAGAGAUAUUUUCGUCCACCUUGAAUAAGGAGUCCGAAAUCCAACUCUAUCUCUAACUUUCCUAACAAACUACAACUCUUUAGGAAACAGAAAAACAGAUCCGUCAGCUUGUUUUGUCCGUCACGGUCAUCACGAGUCCAAUCUUUUGAUGGGGCCAGAUCCGUUGGAAAGGUCUUGUAAUUACCUUUCCAACAAGUACUUGUUUGCUUGAUUUGGACUCCGGAUGCGGCCUGGGUGAUUAAAACAAAUUCGGGUCUCCUGACAGCUCGGACCCGAAUCGGAUUCAACUUUAAUUCGUGAUAUCUUUCUCUAGCAAGCUCCGAAUCAUGUGCCGUUUGAUUUGUUGGAAAGUAGACUUGAUAGGCUUCACUUUGAAUCUCCCUUUGCAGGCUAUAACACUUCAUCUUCACUUUGGACUUGUAAAGUUCAAUAAGAUGCCUACAUAAUAAGAUUACACAACAUAGUAGCUCCGCCUCUUUGCAAGUAACAUAUUGAAAACAUUUUGUAAUUGAAUUCACCUGAUUAUAAUUGUUAUUAGAUACACCAACAAUUAGGGUUCUAAUGGUUGUAUCCAUGGUUAGCAUGUCCAUAUCAUCCUCCCUUUCUUGAAAGGAAAGCCGUCCUCGGCGUCGUUUGUGCUGAAAAGAGAUUGAGAAAAUAGACAAAGUGUGUGCAUGGUAUAUGUAUAUGUCAUCAAUUUUAACUCCACUCCCAUGCUGCACAUUCGAUGUUUCACAUAAAUAAAACUCAUAAUAGUUCAAAAGAUUAAUAGUCAUAUUCCAAUGGCAAGUAUCACAUUUUAAUUUGUAAUUCUCAUCAUUAAACCAUCCUAAUGGAGGUGAACAAUAAUUUAAAAUUACCAAAUGGCGAGUUACAAUAUGCGUCAAUGUGCAAUCAUGCCACAAGUUAUUUGUCAUACAACUAUCACCAAUAUUAGAGGUCAUAUCAAAAUGAUUGAGCAUAUGCCAAAUAUUGUUGUCUCUCAAAUCAAGAAAGUUAUCACAAGCAAUGCAAAUCUGAUGCACCAAAAAUUUAUUUUUGACAUCAUGUUCUCCAAUUAAUUGAAUAGCGUAUCCAUGGGCAUUAGCAAAAGAUUUUGAAAUUGUUAACUCAGAAACUUUAUCCAUUGCAUGUGACAAAUAUAUAGGUGCAUCAAGUUUAAUAAAACACAAAGAAUUAUUAGGUGGAUCGUUCUCAAUCACUCCAUGUGUAAUUAACUUGACACAACCUAAACCAAAUUUAUCUACAUCACAUGCUUCUCCCAAAACAUUAGCUAUUUCCUCACAAUAUUCAUUCUCAUCAAUAUCAAAAUUAAUAUGUGCACUCAAAUCAUUAGAAGAAUUAAUUUCAGCAGUAGGUGCACUCAAAUCAGCAUGUAAAUCAACAAUUUCACAUGGUGCAGAAAAUUCAACAUGUAUCUCAUUUAUUUCGUCACAUGUCAUAUUUAGUUCAGGAACACAAUCAUCUAUAUCUUUACCUUGUGGGCUCGACUCAUUUGUAGUAGACCCUCGCUGUAAUUUCCUCUCAACUUUACGAGCAAGAUUAAGCAAACACAAAAGAGAGUCGUAUUUUCCAUAUUCAAUCAUGUAAGAAAUAUCAAAGUUAAGCCCACAAUAAAACCUAUCCAUUUUUCUUUGUUCGGUUUCAUCUAAACCAGAUCGCAAGGUUAUAAUUUGGAACUCAUUGUAGUAAUCAUCAACAGUUUUAUCAUCUUGUGCCAAACGUCGUAAUUUUGAACGCAAGUUAAAAGCAUAACUAAAAGGGACAUAUUUUUCUCUCAUGAUUUUUCUUCAUAUCAACGCAAGUGUGGGGAAUUUUCUUUUCUCUAACUAUCUCAUUCCACCAAGAUAAAGCAGCAAAAGUAAAUUUACUACUAGCAAUUUGAACCUUGCGACUAUCAAGUACAUGGAAGCAUGUGAAUUGUGCAGUUAAAGCUAGCUCCCAAUCUAUAUACAUUUCAGCAUCAUUUUUCCCCUCAAAGAAAGGUACACACAAUUUAAUUGUAUUAGAAGGAUUGUUUUGUACCGUUGCCAUGGCAUUAUCAACAAGAGACGUGGAGGAUGGCCGUGGUGAAAAGCACUCAUCGCGGUCGCGGGAUAGCAUCGGUCUAGUUGCCAUGCUUCGUGUAAGUCCUGUCAUGGUUAGUAAAAAACAAGAAACAAAUCACAGUAAUAUGUUCCUAUCAACUACUAGGAUGUGGCUACAAGUCGCUCAACUCUCAAGCUAAAAAUCAAGUUCUUACAAGUUCUUACCAUGCAAAACAGGAAGGUGAUGGCCAGCGGCGUGACCAAGCCGUCCGAAUAUUAAAUGUAUCGAUGCCUCGGUAACAAACCAACCUAGGUGUAGAAUCUGUGGAGCUUGGAGGCUUUUGUGAGUAGCAAGGAAUAGCAAAUAAUCAAAUCAGCAAUGCAAAGUUGAAAAUAUGCUCAAUAAUGCUAGUCCUAGCUGCUGGAGUCGAUAAGAACGAAUUACAGAAGUAAUCUAAGCCUAGAUACUGAAGAAGGUAGGAUAGAAAGAUCAAAAGAUGGCACAACAAGUAAAUCCCUGGGAUUUUUUUUCUUUUUUUUUCUUUUUGUGGCCUUCUGUUUGGCUUCUUAUUCUUUUCUUCUUCUUUUUUUUUAACCCCAGAAACUCACGCAAAAGAAGGACCGGAAAACUGUACGUCGGUCUGUCGAAGAACAGCAAAGGCUGCAGUAAGAAAAAUUCAGAAAAAUAUGGAAAAAUAUGGGUUAGAAGCGUAUCGACACAAGCUUUCUAGCAAGGGCAAGAUCACUCAAAACGGAUGUCGGACAGUGGAGAAAACUAAGAAACACCGGGCUGCAGCGACGCCGCAAAACGGAUGCAGAAACUUGGAAGCUCCGAAAGUCCACCUUACAAACCGAAUUUGAGGGUCAAAGUGCAGGGAAAGCCCUGGAUUUUUCCUGAUGCGCCUCGUCGUGAGCUUUCCAAAAAGUCCAAGAACGUCCAAAUCCGAGUUAGUACGCAAAAGAUACGCCCGUUUUACUGAACACGGGUCAAACCCACCCGAAACUAAAAUUCUACUCGGACUCGGGUCCGAAACUGACUCGAACUCUUUCUCUUUUUUUUUCGUUUUUUUUUUCUUUCUUUCCUUUUUUUUUUUCUUUCCUUUCUUUUUUUUUUGACAACUUUCCGAACAACUUGAUCUCUAAACAAAAUUUGAUCUAUUAUGAAAACUUUCCAAAAGCACUCUUGAUUGGACUCGGACUCGAACUUUCGGCUGAAAACUAUAACUUGCCGACUCAAUGUAGAACUCGAUGUAGGACACGGUGUAGGACUCGACGAGGGACUCGGUGUAGGACUCGAUGAGGGACUCGGUGUAGGACUCAAAGAGGGACUCGGUGUAGGACUCGAAGAGAGACUCGGUGGAAGAUAUGGUGGCGGCGGGAGAUUAUGGCGGUGGUGUGGCAGGAAGUUUGGCGGCGGAAGAUUGAUGAAGGAAACCUGCGUCACACGAAGAACAAGAAAACCAAAAGCAAGUUCGAUCUAGUAGAAAAAAUCUGAAAAACGAUCCAAUCUAAUCCAGCAACUCGACACGAUUAAUGCAGCAAAGAUUCAACAAUGCAAAUACUAAAGUGAAAAUUGCAAGGCUCAGAUUGGUUCUAGGACAAGAUAACUAAUUCUAAUUUUUGUUUGGCUUUUUCUGGACGAUAGGUAAAAACAGAUCUAAACUAGGGAUAAACUGGAAAAAUCUCACCGAGCAACCUUAAGCUCUGAUACCACGUGAUACGGGUGUGGGUGGCCCGAUCUUUCGAUGAGAUUGAUAGCUCUCGAUUUGGGUAGGAGGUGACGUUGACGAUCCGACUACGGCCUAGCAGGCAGCGCCUUAGCAAUCGAUACACCAACUCCAGAGGGUUAUUGAUCACGCGGGGGCACAAUCAACCUGACCACGAAGGUCUUUGUUCCUGCAAGCAAUCGAAGAACAAGCAAGAACAAGAUAAAUAGCGGAUGCAAUCUAAAAUUGCGAGUAUACUAUAUCAAACCAAUGUCUCAACGAGACGAUAAGUUGGGGUUCCGAAAGCGGUAAAACAGGUG
rnacentral:lncRNA from 1 species